rnacentral:lncRNA from 1 species
AUCAAAACAUUUCUGGUUGUGGCGAUGACCUUUUUUCCCAUAUGAUCCUAGAAAAUGGAUCGGGUUCCACUAUCAAGGGAUAACGAAACAACAAAUGCACAAAAAACAUCCCAGUGCAAGAACAUAGCCUAAAACUGGUUUCAACUGCUAACAACAAAAGCUAAUGGAUCCAAAUCUACUGCAAGUUGACUUGGGGUUCACAAUCAUCCCAAGCAAAAUGUUUUCGAUCACUAGCAUCAUCAUUCAGAAAACUCCAUUGCAUCGUUCCUCGUCCAGUAUUUCUCCAUUAGUUCACCUUCACCCACUUCUUGCUCCUCAUUUUCUCCAGCAUUACUCGCCUCGAUCCUCAACACAAGAUUUCUUGGCUCCGUGCGCCCACCAACAUGAUGUGCCAAUGCUUCUCGCUUCAAAGCAACAACACCUUGUUCCAGAAUCGCACACUCUUCAUUAUUUUGUAGAUUUGCCCAAUAAAGGAUAAACAUGCAUGCAUAACAAACGAAUUCAGCAAGAGAUCUAGUAAUUUUUUUCUCAAAACAAUAUCUAUUACAUAACUUGGAUGGGAAUGUAGUGGCUUAUCGUGAAGGUGAUGCACUCAUGGACUUGUAGUAGAGCUGGUAGCUGCCACAACAGCUUCCCUAUAUGUGGGUGGCCUUGAGGCAGGCGUCGCAGAGGGGCAUCUCUCCUCCAUCUCCUAUUAGGUCACAUCUGUGGAGUCCCUCGGUGUCUACCAUGACGUUGCUAUCAGGUCCCAUGGCUAUGGCUACUUUCAAGUUCCACUCACAGAUUGAUGAUGAGAUCUGAUCUAUUAGAUCCCAAAAUACCUAAAGCAUUAUAUCUCUGUGAGCAUGCAUGCUAAAGGUAGCAGAUCAAACCCAAACAAACAAGUAAAAAAGACCAAGACACUCACCGUCCUCUUGGGGUGGAAAUUGAUGUAGUCAUAGCCACACGACCUGUAAGCAAAUUUGUGGCAGAUGCGCAAGGAAGCCACGGGAGCGACCUGGUCAUCGAUCUAGAAGAGUUGGCCCUCCGUAACACCUGUCUCUUGGUCAUCAUUGAGGCCAGGAAUGGCUGGUUUGUCAUUGCUACCGAUGGUCGCCAAACCAAUGGAUCUAGGAGGUGGCGACGUCAUCAGAGCCAGGGUGGAACGCUUGCCAUUGGUAGUCGUUGUUCACUAACCCGAGGAGUGAAGAUUACUAUACUAUGGGUAACCGGCUGGUCUAGUUGUAUCGACUAUAUAUUGAGUCCUCUCUUAUCGACAUCGAGUCCUCUUGUCCGCCGGAUGCUCUCUCCGGUAUGCUUUUGUAUAGGUGCUAAUUAAUGAAAUUUAUUUGCUACCUUUUAGAUAGGCUUCAGGUGUAAUUGUUAGAGACGCGUAUUUUUUGUGUAUCUGCAUGCUGGAGAGUUGCGGCAAUUGGGUCCACAUUCUAGUCUAUAUGCGUGUGAUGGGCUGCUGCAUGUAGGUAGAUAUGGACUACAAAGUUCUUCUAUCUAUUUAGUGCGAUAUCACUACUAAUUAAUGUUUGAGAUAGAGUAGAUAUCACUACAAAUUAAUGUUUGAGAUAGAUUAGAUCAACUUUUACCACAUCGUGGUCAAUGAUCGUUGACUCGUGAGGGGUCCCUCGCCGCCUUUCUUGGUCAAGGCAUCUCCAACACCGACCCUCAAGCCUCCUGCAUCCGCCCGGACAGUGAAAGCUAUCCAACGUGCUCCUGUAUCGGUACGAGGCGCGGUCCAGAUGUAUACUUUCUCCUGCAAAUGGGAGACAAACGUGGGGAGUGGGAGGGGGGCUUUGCGGGAGUCUGCACCGCUCCCACGCCCGCUUCUGACCACCCUGGCCCGCCCAAACCUCCUUCUGCAUCCCGCGCGCUUCCCGCCCGACGCCAACUGCCCACAUUCACGCCGCUGUAGAGCGCGGCGCCCCACAUAUUGAAGCGGCGCACCCCCCGAUGACGCCGGCCACUGCACGCCCGACUGAACACGUCUCCAUUAAACCCGUGUGAAAGCUGAGGAACCUACUCCAGCCACACGUUCGUUCACGAGCGGGCCGACAUUAAAUGCAACGCCGGGAAAGCUCCUCCCAUGUGCCCUCUAUUUAAACAAGGCCAGACGUCGGGCAAGAAACGCACCACUCCGCCGCUCCCCAUCUCAUCCUUCCACAAUUUUCUUCGCCCUUUUGAUGGCAUCCGGUGAGCACUAAGAGCAUUUCCCCCGCAUAAAAGCCAGCUAGGUGUCCCACCGAGCCCGCCGAAUACGAGUGAUGCCGCUCACUGCUCCACCUCCCUCGUCUGGCCCGACGGAGCAAGUUGCCACCCCAAACUGACGCAUGGUUCACCACCUCGCCGCUCCAAGCCAGCUCACAAGGGAGCGGCCAUUUGCUCUAGGACGACACGACGACAUAGGCAUCGUAGCACCCAUGGUGACGCUGCGUCAUACUGCGUCUCUGAUGCCUAGGACCGUGCCAUCCGCCAGCAACGCGUGUGUAGCCGUGCGCUGCUGGCAGAGAAAGAAGCUGGCAGCAUAGAGAUCGAUGAGUCGGUGGAUGGCACGUCCACGUCCGCCGCCAACAUCGAGGGAAAGUAGAACACGGAGUAUAGCUGAUGACCUGUCCGGUUCUUCUUUAUCUCAGACCAUCAUUGGCCCCGCCUAGGCUCCACGAAAGCGGAGCCCCCCCUUCCCUCCAGCUGAAGCACCCUCUUUGCCACCGCGAUGAGUGGCGCGACCAAACAUAGGGAAGAUACGAGGGAAGAAUAUACCUCUGGGGCUCCCGACAGUCCGGGUAGUGGGCUGCCGGACAUGGAGAAGACAAAGGGAUCCUUCGCGUCCAGCCGUAGACUAGUGUAGUGUUUCUGUGUCGUGGGAGUGGAGCUCCACGCGACUGUAUGUGCACAUAGUUUUAUCUUUUUUGUUAAAAAUAUGUCCAAAUUGUAACUGUUUUCGUCCAGUUUGAAUGAAAUCCAUCAUGUUUAUAUGAAAUCCACCCAUGUUUGCAUGAAUUUCAUCCGGUUUGCUGAAAAAAUGUUUGCAAUGUAUGCGGCUACGAUUGGAUAGCGGCCUCCCGCAUCCGUUUGCUGGCUGCUAUUGGAGAUGCCCUCAAGCCAGCGUUUGGGCGGGUGUAAGGUGUCCCAUCAUCGGUACAGACAAAGUAUUGUAGGAUUUCUGAUCAAUAGAACUGGAAAGUCUCCGGGUGUGGAAACAUCCUCAUAAUCUUUACUACUCCAUCAUGAUUUAUAUGCCUCGCACAUAUUUCAAUAUAAACAUUGAAAAUUAAUUUAUUCAACAAAAUAUUAGUUAUAUGUCACAAAAACAAAACGUUAGAUUCACAUUCUAAACAAGUUUCCAAUGGUAUAGUUUUUGUGACAUAUAACUCAUAUUUUAUUGAUAAAUCAACGUACAUUUUUUUAUUGAAAUGCUUAAGACUUAUGAAUCAUGUUAGAGGUUAGACUCCACGAAUGACGAAAUUUAUCCCCAAGGUAUCUCUGACAAAAUUGUUACUCUAAUGUCACUUAUCAACAUGUGAUCCAAGUCAUAGCAAUAUCCAACCAAUAAUCCAAUGAAUAACGUAAUCAUAUCAUUUCCACUUACUCCGUAAGCAAUAAUAUCAAAUAUGAUCAUAUGAAAAUAUAGCUAAUGACCCUACUAAUCCGAUGGUAACAUGCCAAUAUCCAACUUGUAAACUACUCUACUAGUCACAAGAAAUCCAAGCAAUAACACGGCAAGAGAUAAUUCUAAUAAUUCCUCCAAGAUUGCCAUGAAUAAAUCAUCAUCAAGUAAUUCAAAAUAAAUCGAGUUUUAUUAUAUUAACCAUGGAAUUUCAUUGCAAUUAUGCAAGUGGAGGUUGUGGCUUGCCUUGCUCCAAGCGAGUGUUGCGAGUACUCUUGGUCUUCAUCAAACAGUGCUAACACUCUGGAAAACAAUAUUAACAAGCAAAAUAAAUUCUCUAUCUAGAAAUUCUAGACAACAAAGAAAAGUGUGAAACUCUACCAGAAAAUAAAGGAGCUCACAAGAGAAAAAAAUGCAAAAAGAAUCAACUCAUUUGGACUUGUAGUUUAGGAGCAAUGGAUGGUGAAAGUUGUGGUCAAACUGGAUUAAAAUAGCGUUAAAAUGGAUUUUCUGGAAUCUCCAUGGGCCGACGUCGAAGACUUAAACAAGGAAUACACUUUGACUUAAAUAUUUGGAUAUAUCUUCAAACAUGAUAUUUAAGAAUAGGAGAUUAAAUUGAAGAAGCCAUUGUUAACAAUGACAAAAGCAACAUGUGGGCAUGGAUCAAAACAAGGGAUAUUUACUUUGACAGUCUAAAAUUUGUGAUGUAUCUUGAGUCCAAACUGUAACGACUCUCAUGUUUAACGACGAUUGAGGUGUUUGGAAGUAUUGUUUGAAUACAUCCUCAAACAUAAUAUUUUUUAAAAAUUAAGUGAACAAAACAAAAAAAAUAUUGUGUGGGUUGGGGUGAAGUGUGUGUGGGGGAGGGGGUGGGGGGUGGGGGGGAUUAUUAUCGGAUAGUAUAUUUCACCUAAUUUUGUAACGCAAGCAUCCUGGUCAAUAUGUCCUCAAGAUACAUUCACACCUUUCCCCUCCCGGGCCGCUCGCGCGGGCGGCUCCGGAAGAAAAAACCUAGAUCCAAGCGCCCCUCCUCCCGAAGACAUCCUGGCCGCCGCCGUCGCCGCCGGCGGCGGUGGCGGCGCCCGGCUGCCAAAGGCAGCGGGCAAGAUCUGCACGCCCUGACAUGGCUCCUUCGCGCGGGCGAGCACCGUCUUGUGGGCGUCGUGACCGCUGGCGGUUCUGGUGCGGUGGCGCGCGGCAGAGAGCACUGGAGGAGGAGGAGCACGGUCGCGAGGUGGAGAGGGGUGGCGGUCUUCCUCGGGCGCCGGCGUGUGUGUCGGAGGCCGCGGCGCGGGGUCCCUGGCGGCUGCAGAUCUUGGAAUGGAGUGGUGACCGGGCGCGGCGGCCGGGAGUUGCGGUGGUGUCCGGGGCGUGCGGUGUGCUUCCUGCCGGCGCUAGAGUGGCUCGGGGAAGGCAGCGCCUUGGAUUGCUAGUGGCAGGGAUGUAGCUGGCAUGUAGGCAUUGGGGUCAAUUGACCCCAAUGGAUUUACUAAAUCCUUCAUUAUCUUAGUACUAAUCACUGUUGAUUUAUAGAAGAUGACCCCAUUGCCAUGGAUAUGACCCCAUCAAGCUUUUUUCUAGCUUCGUCCCUGGCUGGUGGUGGCGCGGUCAGGAUCUGGCCAGAGCUCGGUUCAGGAAAUCGCAAAGGGAGCACCUUGGUGGUGCGUGCGUUCGCUGGAGGCGCAGUGCGCUGGCUCCUCCCGUCCGUGCCCCUGGUCGCAGCGGCUUGGCUGGCUGCCAGAGUGGUUUGGCCAGCCCACGCCUGUGGUGCCGGCGGGUCUUGGCAGCGCCAGGGAGGGUGGCUUGGAGCUGGUGACGUUUGUCUUUCGACCGUGCAGGAGCUGGAGGUUGGCCGGCGUGGUCUCGGCUGUGUGAUGGGUCGGUGUUCCGCGACGGUUUUGGCCAUGAUGGCAAGGCGCUGCUGCAACGACGGUGUAACCCUGACAGAUUAGCCCAAUCCUUGGAUAGGGGUGGGAGGUGUGCGACUGUUGGAUGAAAAUCCUGCUCGUGUCUUCGGCCGGAGCUGGCGGCGACGGUGCCUGAGGGAGUCGUUUCCCUCCUUGGAGGUGUCGCUGAGGUGUGUCGGCAUCUCCCCUUCUUGAUCGGGAUGUGGUCUCCAGGCGAAAGCCUUGGUCUAUUGUAGGACUGGCGAUGGCGACGGUAUAACGUCGUUACUCUAUUGAGAGCAUCGUAGGCGGAGACUUGGCUUGCUGAUUCUGUCUGGUGGUUCUCCGGUGCUUGCCGCUGGUUCGAGUCGAUCUUUGUGGGCGCUAUGUACGUAGCCGCCGGUGAACUGAAGACGAUGGCUUUCUCGGGACCGACCGAGUCCCGCUACCCACCCGCCGUCUCCUCUUAGGCAUUCAAAGGUGGUAGUGCGUGUUGGAAAUAUGCCCUAGAGGCAAUAAUAAAAGGGUUAUUAUUAUAUUUCCUUGUUCAUGAUAAUUGUCUUUUAUUCAUGCUAUAACUGUAUUAUCCGGAAAUCGUAAUACACAUGUGAAUACAUAGACCAUAACAUGUCCCUAGUGAGCCUCUAGUUGACUAGCUCGUUGGUCAACAGAUAGUCAUGGUUUCUGACUAUGGACAUUAGAUGUCAUUGACAACGGGAUCACAUCAUUAGGAGAAUGAUGUGAUGGACGAGACCCAAUCCUAAGCAUAGCACAAGAUCGUGUAGUUAGUUUUGCUAGAGCUUUUCCAAUGUCAAGUAUCUCUUCCUUAGACCAUGAGAUCGUGUAACUCCCGGAUACAGUAAGAGUGCUUUGGGUGUACCAAACGUCACAACGUAACUGGGUGACUAUAAAGGUGCACUACAGGUAUCUCCGAAAGUGUCUGUUGGGUUGACAUGGAUCGAGACUGGGAUUUGUCACUCCGUAUGACGGAGAGGUAUCUCUGGGCCCACUCGGUAAUGCAUCAUCACAAUGAGCUCAAAGUGACCAAGUGUUUGGUCACGGGAUCAUGCAUUACGAUACGAGUAAAGUGACUUGCCGGUAACGAGACUGAACGAGGUAUUGGGAUACCGACGAUCGAGUCUCGGGCAUGUAACGUACCGAAUGAGAAAGGGAAUUGUAUACGGGGUUGUUCUAAUCCUCGACAUCGUGGUUCAUCCGAUGAGAUCAUCGAGCAGCAUGUGGGAGCCAACAUGGGUAUCCAGAUCCCGCUGUUGGUUAUUGCCCGAGAGCCGUCUCGGUCAUGACUACGUGUCUCCCGAACCCGUAGGGUCUACACACUUAAGGUUCGGUGACGCUAGGGUUGUAUGAAUAUGAGUAUGCAGUAUACCGAAUGUUGUUUGGAGUCCCGUAUGAGAUCCCGGACGUCACGAGGAGUUUCGGAAUGGUCCGGAGGUAAAGAAUUAUAUAUAGGAAGUGGUAUUUCGGCCAUCGGGAAAGUUUCGGGGUCACCCGGUAUUGUACCGGGACCACCGGAAGGGUCCCGGGGGUCCACCGGGUGGGGCCACCCAUCCCGGAGGGCCCCAUGGGCUGAAGUGGGAGGGGAGCCAGCCCAUAGUGGGCUGGUGCGCCCCCCUAGGCCCACCCCCUGCGCCUAGGGUUGAAACCCUAGGGUGGGGGGCGCACCACAUGCCUUGGGGGGCACUCCUCCCCCCUUGGCCGCCGCCCCCUUGGGAGAUUGAAUCUCCCAGGGCCGGCGCCCCCCCUUGGGGGCCUAUAUAAAGGGAGGGGGGAGAGGGGCAGCCGCACCCUGAAGUCCUGGCGCCCCCUCCCCCUGCUACACCUCUUCCUCCUCCGUCACGUGCUUGGCGAAGCCCUGCCGGACUGCUGCUGUUCCACCACCACCACGCCGUUGUGCUGCUGCUGGAGCCAUCAUCAUCAACCUCUCCUCCCCCCUUGCUGGAUCAAGAAGGAGGAGACGUCACACGCACCGUACGUGUGUUGAACGCGGAGGUGCCGUCCGUUCGGCGCUAGGAUCUCCGGUGAUCUGAAUCACGGCGAGUACGACUCCAUCAUCACCGCUCCCUCUAACACUUCCGUAUGGGAUCUACAAGUGGUAUGUAGAUGCAAACUCACUCCCUUGACUCAUUGCUUAGAUGAACUCAUAGAUGGAUCUUGGUGAAACCGUAGGAAAAUUUUUAAUUUUCUGCAACGUUCCCCAACAGUGGCAUCAUGAGCUAGGUCUAUGCGUAGUUCUCUAUUGCACGAGUAGAACACAAUUUUGUUGUGGGCGUAGAUCUUGUCAACUUGCUUGCCGCUACUAGUCUUAUCUUGCUUUAGCGGUAUUGUGGGAUGAAGCGGCCCGGACCAACCUUACACGUACGCUUACGUGAGACCGGUUCCACCGACUAACAUGCACUAGUUGCAUAAGGUGGCUGGCGGGUGUCUGUCUCUCCCACUUUAGUUGGAGCGGAUUCGAUGAAAAGGGUCCUUAUGAAGGGUAAAUAGAAGUUGACAAAAUCACGUUGUGGUUAUUCGUAGGUAAGAAAACGUUCUUGCUAGAACCCAAUUGCAGCGACGUGAAAGAUGCAACAACAAUUAGAGGACGUCUAACUUGUUUUUGCAGCAAUUGUCAUGUGAUGUGAUAUGGCCAGAAGUUGUGAUGAAUGAUGAAUGAUAUAUUGUGAUGUAUGAGAUCAUGUUCUUGUAAUAGGAAUCACGACUUGCAUGUCGAUGAGUAUGAAAACCGGCAGGAGCCAUAGGAGUUGUCUUUAUUUUUGUAUGACCUGCGUGUCAUUGAAGAAUGCCAUGUAAACUACUUUACUUUAUUGCUAAACGCGUUAGUCAUAGAAGUAGAAGUAGUCGUUGGCGUGACAACUUCAUGAAGACAUGAUGAUGGAGAUCAUGAUGAUGGAGAUCAUGGUGUCAUGCCGGUGACAAGAUGAUCAUGGAGCCCCGAAGAUGAAGAUCAAAGGAGCUAUAUGAUAUUGGCCAUAUCAUGUCACUACUUUAUAUAAUUGCAUGUGAUGUUUAUUAUGUUUUAUGCAUCUUGUUUACUUAGAACGACGGUAGUAAAUAAGAUGAUCCCUUGCAACAAUUUCAAGAAGUGUUCUCCCCUAACUGUGCACCGUUGCUAAAGUUCGUCGUUUCGAAGCACCACGUGAUGAUCGGGUGUGAUAGAUCCUUACGUUCACAUACAACGGGUGUAAGACAGUUUUACACAUGCAAAACACUUAGGGUUAACUUGACGAGCCUAGCAUGUACAGACAUGGCCUCGGAACACGGAGACCGAAAGGUCGAACACGAGUCGUAUGGAAGAUACGAUCAACAUGAGAAUGUUCACUGACGAUGACUAGUCCGUCUCACGUGAUGAUCGGACACGGCCUAGUCAACUCGGAUCGUGUAACACUUAGAUGACUGAGGGGAUGUCAAAUCUGAGUGGGAGUUCAUUAAAUAAUUUGAUUGGAUGAACUUAAUUAUCAUGAACUUAGUCUAAAAUCUUUGCAAAAUAUGUCUUGUAGAUCAAAUGGCCAACGCUCAUGUCAACAUGAACUUCAACGCGUUCCUAGAGAAAACCAAGCUGAAAGAUGAUGGCAGCAACUAUACGGACUGGGUCCGGAACCUUAGGAUCAUCCUCAUAGCUGCCAAGAAAGCAUAUGUCCUUGAAGCACCAUUAGGUGACCCACCUACUCUCCCAGCACUGCAAGACGAUUUGAACGUUUGGCAGACACGUGCUGAUGAUUACUCCCUCGUUCAGUGCGGCAUGCUUUACAGCUUAGAACCGGGGCUCCAAAAGCUUUUUGAGCAACACGGGGCAUAUGAGAUGUUCGAGGAGCUGAAACUAGUUUUCCAAGCUCAUGCCCGGGUCGAGAGAUAUGAAGUCUCCAACAAGUUCUAUAGUUGUAAGAUGGAGGAAAACAGUUCUGUCAGUGAGCAUAUACUCAAAAUGUCUGGGUUGCACAGCCGCCUGUCCCAGCUGGACAUUAACCUCCUGGAUGAGGCGGUCAUUGACAGAAUCCUUCAGUCGCUCCCACCAAGCUACAAGAGCUUUGUGAUGAACUAUAAUAUGCAGGGGAUGGUGAAGACCAUUCCUGAAGUAUUUUCAAUGCUGAAGUCGGCAGAGGUUGAAAUCAAGAAAGAACAUCAAGUGUUGAUGGUUAAUAAGACCACUAAGUUCAAGAAGGGCAAGGGUAAGAAGAACUUCAAGAAGGACGGCAAAGAUGUUGCCGCGCCCGGUAAGCCAGUUGCCGGGAAGAAGUCAAAGAAUGGACCCAAGCCUGAGACUGAGUGCUUUUAUUGCAAGGGGAAGGGUCACUGGAAGCGGAACUGCCCCAAAUACUUAGCGGAUAAGAAGGCCGGCAACAGUAAAGGUAUAUUUGAUAUACAUGUAAUUGAUGUGUACCUUACCAAUACUCGUAGUAACUCCUGGGUAUUUGAUACCGGUGCCGUUGCUCAUAUUUGUAACUCAUAGCAGGAGCUGCGGAAUAAGCGGAGACUGGCGAAGGACGAGGUGACGAUGCGCGUCGGGAAUGGUUCCAAGGUCGAUGUGAUCGCCGUCGGCACACUACCUCUACAUUUACCUACGGGAUUAGUUAUAAACCUUAAUAAUUGUUAUUUGGUGCCAAGUUUGAGCAUGAACAUUGUAUCUGGAUCUCGUUUGAUACGAGAUGGAUACUCAUUUAAAUCCGAGAAUAAUGGUUGUUCUAUUUAUAUGAGAGAUAUGUUUUAUGGUCAUGCCCCUAUGGUCAAUGGUUUAUUCUUAAUGAAUCUCGAGCGUAAUGUUACACAUAUUCAUAGCGUGAAUACCAAAAGAUGUAAAGUUGAUAACGAUAGUCCCACAUACUUGUGGCACUGCCGCCUUGGUCACAUUGGUGUCAAGCGCAUGAAGAAGCUCCAUGCUGAUGGACUUUUGGAGUCUCUCGAUUAUGAAUCAUUUGACACAUGCGAACCAUGCCUCAUGGGCAAAAUGACCAAGACUCCGUUCCCCGGAACAAUGGAGCGAGCAACCAACUUGUUGGAAAUCAUACACACCGAUGUGUGCGGUCCAAUGAGUGUUGAGGCUCGCGGAGGAUAUCGUUAUGUUCUCACUCUCACUGAUGACUUGAGUAGAUAUGGGUAUGUCUACUUGAUGAAACACAAGUCUGAGACCUUUGAAAAGUUCAAGGAAUUUCAGAAUGAAGUAGAGAAUCAACGUGACCGAAAGAUAAAAUUCUUACGAUCGGAUCGUGGAGGAGAAUAUUUAAGUCACGAAUUUGGUACACACUUAAGAAAAUGUGGAAUCGUUUCACAACUCACGCCGCCUAGAACACCUCAGCGAAACGGUGUGUCCGAACGUCGUAAUCGCACUCUAUUGGAUAUGGUGCGGCCUAUGAUGUCUCUUACCGAUUUACCGCUAUCAUUUUGGGGAUACGCUCUAGAGACAGCUACAUUCACUUUAAAUAGGGCACCGUCUAAAUCCGUUGAGACGACACCGUAUGAAUUAUGGUUUGGGAAGAAACCUAAGUUGUCGUUUCUAAAAGUUCGGGGAUGCGAUGCUUAUGUCAAGAAACUUCAACCUGAAAAGCUCGAACCCAAGUCGGAAAAAUGUGUCUUCAUAGGAUACCCUAAAGAAACCAUUGGGUAUACCUUCUACUUAAGAUCCGAGGGCAAGAUCUUUGUUGCCAAGAACGGAUCCUUUCUGGAAAAAGAGUUUCUCUCGAAAGAACUAAGUGGGAGGAAAGUAGAACUCGAUGAAGUACUACCUCUUGAACAGGAUAGUAGUGCAGCUCAGGAAAAUGUUCCUGUGAUGCCUACACCAACUGAAGAGGAAAAUAAUGAUGAUGAUCAAGGUACUUCUGAUCAAGUUACUACUGAACUUCGUAGGUCCACAAGGACACGUUCCGCACCAGAGUGGUACGGCAACCCUGUCCUGGAAAUCAUGUUGUUAGACAACCGUGAACCUUCGAACUAUGAAGAAGCGAUAGCGGGCCCAGAUUCCAACAAAUGGCUUGAAGCCAUGAAAUCCGAGAUAGAAUCCAUGUAUGAAAACAAAGUAUGGACUUUGACUGACUUGCCCGAUGAUCGGCGAGCGAUAGAAAACAAAUGGAUCUUUAAGAAGAAGACGGACGCGGAUGGUAAUGUCACCAUCUAUAAAGCUCGACUUGUCGCUAAGGGUUAUCGGCAAGUUCAAGGGAUUGACUACGAUGAGACUUUCUCUCCCGUAGCGAAGCUUAAGUCCGCCCGAAUCAUGUUAGCAAUUGCCGCAUACUAUGAUUAUGAGAUAUGGCAAAUGGACGUCAAAACGACAUUCCUUAACGGUUAUCUUAAGGAAGAGCUAUAUAUGAUGCAGCCGGAAGGUUUUGUCGAUCCUAAGAACGCUAACAAAGUAUGCAAGCUCCAGCGAUCCAUUUAUGGGCUGGUGCAAGCAUCUCGGAGUUGGAACAUUCGCUUUGAUGAGAUCAUCAAAGCGUUUGGGUUUAUGCAGACUUAUGGAGAAGCCUGCGUUUACAAGAAAGUGAGUGGGAGCUCUGUAGCGUUUCUCAUAUUAUAUGUAGAUGACAUACUUUUGAUGGGAAAUGAUAUAGAUUCUUGGACAGCAUUAAGGCCUACUUGAAUAAGUGUUUUUCAAUGAAGGACCUUGGAGAAGCUGCUUACAUAUUAGGCAUCAAGAUCUAUAGGGAUAGAUCGAGACGCCUCAUAGGUCUUUCACAAAGCACAUACCUUGAUAAGAUUUUGAAUAAGUUCAAAAUGGAUCAGUCCAAGAAAGGGUUCUUGCCUGUAUUGCAAGGUGUGAGAUUGAGCUCGGCUUAAUGCCCGACCAUGGCAAAAGAUAAAGAAGAGAUGAUCGUCAUCCCCUAUGCCUCAGCCAUAGGAUCUAUUAUGUAUGCCAUGCUAUGUACCAGACCUGAUGUAAACCUUGCCGUAAGUUUGGUAGGAAGGUACCAAAGUAAUCCCGGCAAGGAACACUGGACAGCGGUCAAGAAUAUCCUGAAGUACCUGAAAAGGACAAAGGACAUGUUUCUCGUUUAUGGAGGUGAUGAAGAGCUCGUCGUAAAGGGUUACGUCGAUGCUAGCUUCGACACAGAUCUGGAUGACUCUAAGUCACAAACCGAAUACGUGUAUAUGUUGAAUGGUGGAGCAGUAAGCUGGUGCAGCUGCAAGCAGAGCGUCGUGGCGGGAUCUACAUGUGAAGCGGAGUACAUGGCAGCCUCGGAGGCAUCGCAUGAAGCUAUUUGGGUGAAGGAGUUCAUCACCGACCUAGGAGUCAUACCCAAUGCGUCGGGGCCGAUCAAACUCUUCUGUGACAACACUGGAGCUAUUGCCCUUGCCAAGGAGCCCAGGUUUCACAAGAAGACCAGGCACAUCAAGCAUCGUUUCAACUCCAUCUGAGAAAAUGUUCAAGAUGGAGACAUAGAUAUUUGCAAAGUACAUACGGAUCUGAAUGUCGUAGAUCCGUUGACUAAACCUCUCUCGCGAGCAAAACAUGAUCAACACCAGAACUCUAUGGGUGUUCGAUUCAUCACAAUGUAACUAGAUUAUUGACUCUAGUGCAAGUGGGAGACUGUUGGAAAUAUGCCCUAGAGGCAAUAAUAAAAGGGUUAUUAUUAUAUUUCCUUGUUCAUGAUAAUUGUCUUCUAUUCAUGCUAUAAAUGUAUUAUCCGGAAAUCGUAAUACACGUGUGAAUACAUAGACCAUAACAUGUCCCUAGUGAGCCUCUAGUUGACUAGCUCGUUGGUCGACAGAUAGUCAUGGUUUCUGACUAUAGACAUUAGUUGUCAUUGACAACGGGAUCACAUCAUUAGGAGAAUGAUGUGAUGGACGAGACCCAAUCCUAAGCAUAGCACAAGAUCGUGUAGUUCGUUUUGCUAGAGCUUUUCCAAUGUCAAGUAUCUCUUCCUUAGACCAUGAGAUCGUGUAACUCCCGGAUACCGUAAGAGUGCUUUGGGUGUACCAAACGUCACAACGUAACUGGGUGACUAUAAAGGUGCACUACAGGUAUCUCCAAAAGUGUCUGUUGAUGCUAGCUUCGACACAGAUCUGGAUGACUCUAAGUCACAAACCGAAUACGUGUAUAUGUUGAAUGGUGGAGCAGUAAGCUGGUGCAGCUGCAAGCAGAGCGUCGUGGCGGGAUCUACAUGUGAAGCGGAGUACAUGGCAGCCUCGGAGGCAUCGCAUGAAGCUAUUUGGGUGAAGGAGUUCAUCACCGACCUAGGAGUCAUACCCAAUGCGUCAGGGCCGAUCAAACUCUUCUGUGACAACACUGGAGCUAUUGCCCUUGCCAAGGAGCCCAGGUUUCACAAGAAGACCAGGCACAUCAAGCAUCGUUUCAACUCCAUCUGAGAAAAUGUUCAAGAUGGAGACAUAGAUAUUUGCAAAGUACAUACGGAUCUGAAUGUCGUAGAUCCGUUGACUAAACCUCUCUCGCGAGCAAAACAUGAUCAACACCAGAACUCUAUGGGUGUUCGAUUCAUCACAAUGUAACUAGAUUAUUGACUCUAGUGCAAGUGGGAGACUGUUGGAAAUAUGCCCUAGAGGCAAUAAUAAAAGGGUUAUUAUUAUAUUUCCUUGUUCAUGAUAAUUGUCUUCUAUUCAUGCUAUAACUGUAUUAUCCGGAAAUCGUAAUACACGUGUGAAUACAUAGACCAUAACAUGUCCCUAGUGAGCCUCUAGUUGACUAGCUCAUUGGUCGACAGAUAGUCAUGGUUUCUGACUAUAGACAUUAGUUGUCAUUGACAACGGGAUCACAUCAUUAGGAGAAUGAUGUGAUGGACGAGACCCAAUCCUAAGCAUAGCACAAGAUCGUGUAGUUCGUUUUGCUAGAGCUUUUCCAAUGUCAAGUAUCUCUUCCUUAGACCAUGAGAUCGUGUAACUCCCGGAUACCGUAAGAGUGCUUUGGGUGUACCAAACGUCACAACGUAACUGGGUGACUAUAAAGGUGCACUACAGGUAUCUCCGAAAGUGUCUGUUGGGUUGACACGGAUCGAGACUGGGAUUUGUCACUCUGUAUGACGGAGAGGUAUCUCUGGGCCCACUCGGUAAUGCAUCAUCACAAUGAGCUCAAAGUGACCAAGUGUUUGUUCACGGGAUCAUGCAUUACGGUACGAGUAAAGUGACUUGCCGGUAACGAGACUGAACGAGGUAUUGGGAUACCGACGAUCGAGUCUCGGGCAUGUAACGUACCGAAUGACAAAGGGAAUUGUAUACGGGGUUUUUCUAAUCCUUGACAUCGUGGUUCAUCCGAUGAGAUCAUCGAGGAGCAUGUGGGAGAAAACAUGGGUAUCCAGAUCCCGCUGUUGGUUAUUGCCCGAGAGCCGUCUCGGUCAUCACUUCGUGUCUCCCGAACCCGUAGGGUCUACACACUUAAGGUUCGGUGAUGCUAGGGUUGUAUGAAUAUGAGUAUGCAGUAUACCGAAUGUUGUUCGGAGUCCCAGAUGAGAUCCCGGAUGUCACGAGGAGUUUCGGAAUGGUCCGGAGGUAAAGAAUUAUAUAUAGGAAGUGGUAUUUCGGCCAUCGGAAAAGUUUCGGGGUCACCCGGUAUUGUACCGGGACCACCGGAAGGGUCCCGGGGGUCCACCGGGUGGGGCCACCCAUCCUGGAGGGCCCCAUGGGCUGAUGUGGGAGGGGAGCCAGCCCAUAGUGGGCUGGUGCGCCCCCCUAGGCCCAUCCCCUGCGCCUAGGGUUGAAACCCUAGGGUGGGGGGGGGCACCACAUGCCUUGGGGGGCACUCCUCCCCCCUUGGCCGCCGCCCCCUUGGGAGAUUGAAUCUCCCAGGGCCGGCGCCCCCCCUUGGGGGCCUAUAUAAAGGGAGGGGGAGAGGGGCAGCCGCACCCUGAAGUCCUGGCGCCCCCUCCCCCUGCUACACCUCUUCCUCCUCUGUCACGUGCUUGGCGAAGCCCUGCCGGAGUGCUGCUGUUCCACCACCACCACGCCGUUGUGCUGCUGCUGGAGCCAUCAUCAUCAACCUCUCCUCCCCCCUUGCUGGAUCAAGAAGGAGGAGACGUCACACGCACCGUACGUGUGUUGAACGCGAAGGUGCCGUCCGUUCGGCGCUAGGAUCUCCGGUGAUCUGAAUCACGGCGAGUACGACUCCAUCAUCACCGCUCCCUCUAACGCGUCCGUACGCGAUCUACAAGUGGUAUGUAGAUGCAAACUCACUCUCUUGACUCGUUGCUUAGAUGAACUCAUAGAUGGAUCUUGGUGAAACCGUAGGAAAAAUUUUAAUUUUCUGCAACGUUCCCCAACAGUGCGUUGGCAAGGAAAAUCCGGUUGGAGUUGUUGCUUUUCGAGGUGACCGGUGUUUGUGGUGACGUGACUAGAUGAUUGGUUUAGGGCAGACCCUUUUGCUUGUGUUUGUAACUGUCGUGGUGGCUAAUCUGUUGAUUAGCUUCGGUGUGGAGUUGUGCUACACUUGUUGUUCGCAGCAAGAUGUAGUUUCUUGUACUUGAUUUCUGCCUUCUAUAAAAAUAUGGUACGCCUAGGCGUACUCUCGAAAAAAAAUAUGUCCUCAAGAUUAGAUCAAGUUACAUAAUCAUGUUGAAGUUAAAUCAUCUUGUUGAAUUAAAAAAUGAUAAUAUUUUUUGAUGUAUGUUGAAUCAAACCUCACUCAAAACGGUGGAGAACAGUUGAAUUGUUGAGAUAUGUGAAUAAUUAUUCCAACUAUAUUUGAAAAUCCAGCAAAUAAUAUGGAGCACUGGUAGAAAAAGAGGCUUCCGUCUAGCCCCAUUAGUCGCGAAACUGUAGGAACCGCGACUAAUGAAGUCUUUAGUCGCGGUUCGGCAGACGAACCGCGACCAAAGUCUUGGGCCAGGGCGCUCGGUGGCCAGCUGGUGCACGUGAGGGGCUUUAGUCGCGGUUGGGCAGGCCAACCGCGACUAAAGGUGCCCAAAGGCCUUUAGUCGCGGUUGGCCUGGCCAACCGCGACUAAAGCUCCUCCCCUAUAUAUACCAGUUCAGCGCACUCACUUAGCCAUUUGGUGCCACUUCUCUUCACAAGGGGGUGUAGGUUUGCUUUUGGUUCCUCUUAUGCACACAAGGUGUUUGAUGAAAUGCCCAACAGCGUGAAACAAACAUGAUAUGAAGUGUUGGAGCCACACUUGAGGUUCCUCCUCGAUCGCGGUUAGCAACUUGAACCUUUCAUGCAUGUGUGUCAUUGAUAAAAUAUGCAUGUGUGUUGUUCAUUGUUUAAUUUCUAUUGUUUAUAGCUAGUUACUUUAACAAAUGCAUGAUGGUUAAUUAUAUAUUUUAUAUUAUAAUAAUGCAGAUGAAUCGGCAAUGGAUGUACGGUAACCGACUCUCCCGCGAGUUCACUACGGGUUUGAAAGAUUUCCUCGUAGUGGCUAAUGCGAACAAGCAGAAGGGUUUUGUUAUCUGUCCUUGUGUUGACUGUAAGAAUCAGAAGGGUUACUCUUCCUCAAGAGAAGUUCACCUGCACCUGCUUCGGCACGGUUUCAUGCCAAGCUAUAAUUGUUGGACCAAGCAUGGAGAAAGAGGGGUUAUAAUGGAAGAAGAUGAAGAAGGGGAUGAUUUCAUCGAUGAAAGCUAUCUUGCUCAUUUCGGUGAUACUUUCAUGGAGGAUGCUGAAGGUGAAGGGGAAGGUGAAGGGGCAGGUGAAGGGGAAGGUGAAGGGGAAGGUGAAGGUGAAGGUGAAGAAGAGGCACGUGAUGAGACCGUUGAUGAUCUUGGUCGGACCAUUGCUGAUGCACGGAGACGCUGCGAAACUGAAAAGGAGAGGGAGAAUUUGGAUCGCAUGUUAGAGGAUCACAGAAAGUCGUUGUACCCUGGAUGCGAUGAUGGUCUGAAAAAGCUGGGCUGCACACUGGAUUUGCUGAAAUGGAAGGCACAGGCAGGUGUAGCUGACUCGGCAUUUGAAAACUUGCUGAAAAUGUUGAAGAAUAUGUUUCCAAAGAAUAACGAGUUGCCCGCCAGUAUGUACGAAGCAAAGAAGGUUGUCUGCCCUCUAGGUUUAGAGGUUUUGAAGAUACAUGCAUGCAUCAACGACUGCAUCCUCUACCCGCGGUGAAUACGAGAAUUUGAAUGAAUGCCCGGUAUGCACUGCAUUGCGUUAUAAGAUCAGAGGCGAUGACCCUGGUGACGAUGUUGAGGGCGGGAAACCCAGGAAGAGGGUUCCCGCCAAGGUGAUGUGGUAUACUCCUAUAAUACCACGGUUGAAACGUCUGUUCAGGAACAAAGAGCAUGCCAAGUUGUUGCGAUGGCACAAAGAGGACCGUAAGUCGGACGGGGAGUUGAGACACACCGCAGAUGGAACGCAAUGGAGAAAGAUCGACAGAGAGUUCAAAGAUUUUGCAGCUGACGCAAGGAACAUAAGAUUUGGUCUAAGUACAGAUGGCAUGAAUCCUUUUGGCGAGCAGAGCUCCAGCCAUAGCACCUGGCCCGUGACUCUAUGCAUCUACAACCUUCCUCCUUGGUUGUGCAUGAAGCAGAAGUUCAUUAUGAUGCCAGUGCUCAUCCAAGGUCCGAAGCAACCCGGCAACGACAUCGAUGUGUACCUAAGGCCAUUAGUUGAUGAACUUUUACAGCUGUGUGGCAGACCUGGUGUUCGUGUGUGGGAUGAGCACAAAAAAGAGGAAUUUAACCUACGAGCGUUGCUUUUCGUAACCAUCAAUGAUUGGCCUGCUCUUAGUAACCUUUCGGGACUGUCAAAUAAGGGAUACAAUGCAUGCACGCACUGCUUACAUGAGACUGAAAGUGUACAUUUGCCAAAUUGUAAGAAGAACGUGUACCUUGGGCAUCGUCGAUUUCUUCCGAAAAUUCAUCCAGUAAGAAAGAAAGGCAAGCAUUACAACGGCAAGGCAGAUCACCGGCCGAAGCCUGCGGAACGCACUGGUGCUGAGGUAUUUGAUAUGGUCAAGGAUUUGAAAGUCAUCUUUGGAAAGGGUCCUGGCGGACAAUCAGUUCCGAAGGGAGCUGACGGGCACGCAGCCAUGUGGAAGAAGAAAUCUAUAUUCUGGGAGCUAGAAUAUUGGAAAGUCCUAGAAGUCUGCUCUGCAAUCGACGUGAUGCACGUUACGAAGAAUAUUUGCGUGAACCUCCUAAGCUUCUUGGGCGUGUAUGGGAAGACAAAUGAUACAAAGGAAGCACGGCAGGACCAGCAAUGUUUGAAAGACCCUGAUGACCAGCAUCCGGAAUGGUUUCAAGGUCGUGCCAGCUACGCUCUGACCAAAGAAGAGAAGGUCAUCUUUUUUGAAUGCCUGAGCAGUAUGAAGGUCCCGUCUGGAUUCUCGUCCAAUAUAAAGGGAAUAAUAAACAUGGCGGAGAAAAGUUCCAAAACCUGAAGUCUCACGACUGCCACGUGAUUAUGACGCAAUUGCUUCCGAUUGCUUUGAGGGGGCUCCUGCCGGAAAAUGUUCGAGUAGACAUUGUGAAGCUAUGUGCAUUCCUCAAUGCAAUCUCUCAGAAGGUAAUCAAUCCAGAAGAUCUACCACGGUUACAGAACGAUGUGAUCCAAUGUCUUGUCAGUUUCGAGUUGGUGUUCCCGCCAUCCUUCUUCAAUAUUAUGACGCACCUCUUGGUUCACCUAGUCGAAGAGAUUUUCAUUCUCGGUCCUGUAUUUCUACACAAUAUGUUCCCAUUCGAGAGGUUCAUGGGAGUAUUAAAGAAAUAUGUUCGUAACCGUGCUAGGCCAGAAGGAAGCAUCGCCAAGGGCUAUGGAAAUGAGGAGGUAAUUGAGUUUUGUGUUGACUUUGUUCCUGACCUUAAGCCGAUUGGUCUUCCUCGAUCGCGGCACGAGGGGAGACUAAGUGGAAAAGGCACGAUCGGAAGGAAAUCAACGACAUGUAUGGACGGCCAUUCUCUGACUGAAGCACACCACACUGUACUGACCAAUUCCAGCUUGGUGGCUCCGUACUUUGAGAAACACAAGAAUAUUUUACGCUCGGACAACCCGGGGAAGCCUGAAUCCUGGAUUAGGAAGGCCCACAUGGAGACUUUCGGCAGUUGGUUGAGAAAACAUUUAAUGAAUGACAAUGAUGUUGUAGAUCAGCUGUACAUGUUGGCCAAGACACCAUCUUCGACUAUAACGACUUUCCAAGGGUACGAGAUAAAUGGGAAUACAUUUUACACGAUCGCCNNNNNNNNNNNNNNNNNNNNNNNNNNNNNNNNNNNNNNNNNNNNNNNNNNNNNNNNNNNNNNNNNNNNNNNNNNNNNNNNNNNNNNNNNNNNNNNNNNNNNNNNNNNNNNNNNNNNNNNNNNNNNNNNNNNNNNNNNNNNNNNNNNNNNNNNNNNNNNNNNNNNNNNNNNNNNNNNNNNNNNNNNNNNNNNNNNNNNNNNNNNNNNNNNNNNNNNNNNNNNNNNNNNNNNNNNNNNNNNNNNNNNNNNNNNNNNNNNNNNNNNNNNNNNNNNNNNNNNNNNNNNNNNNNNNNNNNNNNNNNNNNNNNNNNNNNNNNNNNNNNNNNNNNNNNNNNNNNNNNNNNNNNNNNNNNNNNNNNNNNNNNNNNNNNNNNNNNNNNNNNNNNNNNNNNNNNNNNNNNNNNNNNNNNNNNNNNNNNNNNNNNNNNNNNNNNNNNNNNNNNNNNNNNNNNNNNNNNNNNNNNNNNNNNNNNNNNNNNNNNNNNNNNNNNNNNNNNNNNNNNNNNNNNNNNNNNNNNNNNNNNNNNNNNNNNNNNNNNNNNNNNNNNNNNNNNNNNNNNNNNNNNNNNNNNNNNNNNNNNNNNNNNNNNNNNNNNNNNNNNNNNNNNNNNNNNNNNNNNNNNNNNNNNNNNNNNNNNNNNNNNNNNNNNNNNNNNNNNNNNNNNNNNNNNNNNNNNNNNNNNNNNNNNNNNNNNNNNNNNNNNNNNNNNNNNNNNNNNNNNNNNNNNNNNNNNNNNNNNNNNNNNNNNNNNNNNNNNNNNNNNNNNNNNNNNNNNNNNNNNNNNNNNNNNNNNNNNNNNNNNNNNNNNNNNNNNNNNNNNNNNNNNNNNNNNNNNNNNNNNNNNNNNNNNNNNNNNNNNNNNNNNNNNNNNNNNNNNNNNNNNNNNNNNNNNNNNNNNNNNNNNNNNNNNNNNNNNNNNNNNNNNNNNNNNNNNNNNNNNNNNNNNNNNNNNNNNNNNNNNNNNNNNNNNNNNNNNNNNNNNNNNNNNNNNNNNNNNNNNNNNNNNNNNNNNNNNNNNNNNNNNNNNNNNNNNNNNNNNNNNNNNNNNNNNNNNNNNNNNNNNNNNNNNNNNNNNNNNNNNNNNNNNNNNNNNNNNNNNNNNNNNNNNNNNNNNNNNNNNNNNNNNNNNNNNNNNNNNNNNNNNNNNNNNNNNNNNNNNNNNNNNNNNNNNNNNNNNNNNNNNNNNNNNNNNNNNNNNNNNNNNNNNNNNNNNNAAAUAACUUAAAACUUGAUAAUUAACAAAAAAACCGUAAAAUUUGAUAAUUAACAAAAAAAACGUAUAUACGGAGAGGGGGCGGCGAGGGGGGCGGCGAUGCGCGCGGUGUUUUUUUAGGGAUCGAGAGGGGACGGCGAGGGUUAUAAAUGUGUUGUCCUCGCCUCCCUCUCCGUGACGCCGUCGUCUGCCUCCCCGUCUCGCGCUCUACCGCGACACCCUCUCCCACCCCUUCCUCGCCCCCUCCUUUUGCCACUGCCCUUUCGCCACCGCCACCGCCACCGCCCCCCUUCUUCACUUAAUUAAUUUGUUUUUACUACAUGUUUUCAGGACUGACAUAAUGGCGGACGAUAGAGCUGACCCGAUUAUGGACAACUAUGAUCCGGACGGUGAAGCACAUAUGUUCGGCAUCAUAAACGGCGAUAUUCUAUAUGUGCCGACCGGACAAGAAGAAGAUGAUAUCUCUUCUUAUCUGAACCUUGACGGUGAAGAUGAAGGGCGCCGUCAGCAAGAUGAUGCCGAACAAACGUCGAUAAACGACGAUCUUCAAAUGGAAGUAGCAACCACCUCCGGCGCCGAGGUAUAUAUAUAUACAUUGAGCCUCUGGUGAUACAAACUAACUGAUUUGAAUAAAUAUGUUUGGACUAACGCGCGCGACUCUCUUUCUUAUUUUAGCCCUCGGCCGGAUCGUCGAAACAAUCGAGUACGUCGUCAAAGCGUGGCGCAACCAAGACGAUGAAACAAGGAGAAACAUGCACCAUCGAGGUUGUCGACAGUGCAACCGGCAGGCCGCUGGAGCCCCGCAAGAACGCCACCAAGUUUGUCAACCAAUGCGGAGCCAUUGUUAGAGACAACGUCUCGAUCACCGUCCAGGAGUGGAAUAAGCCAAAGAAGGCACGAAUUGCUGGUUUCACUUUCGUCGAUAAGAGAACAAAAAGAGAUUGCUUCAAAAAGCUUAUGGAACAUUUCGUUCUACCUCCGGAAUACAACAAAUUCGAUGAGGAGGGUAACAAGAUUGAGGAAAACAAGGAGAGGAGGAGGCUAGUCAAACAGUUCGCUCUUCAUAAGAUGGCCGACGCAUUCCGGAAAUUCAAGCAAAAUCUAGCCCAUGACUUUGUCAAGCAGAACAAGACUCCGGAUUUCAAAGGACAAUAUGAGAAACUGAAACAUGAUUGCCCAGAAUUUGUGAAGCAAAAGAAAUCGGAGCAGUUCAUUCAAAUAUCGAAAAAAAUAAGGAAAAUGCGGCUAAGAAGGAGUACAAUCAUAUUAUGGGGCCAGGAGGGUAUCGCCUUUGGGAGCCUAGGUGGGAGAAGAUGGAGAACGAGCUGAGAGCGCGAGGAAUCCGUCCAGGUACGGAGGGAUGGGACCCAAGGGCCAAAAGCUGGUGGUACGGGCAUGGGGGAACGCUGAACCCGGAGACAGGGGACUGUGUUUACCGGGGCAAAAUAAUUAAACCCACCCAAGCCCUUAUUGACGCAAUGAGGGAUGCUCAAGAGGGGAAGAUCAAGUUCAACAGAGAGAACGACGCACUGACAAAAGCCCUCGGGAAUCCUGAACACGGAGGACGUGUACGAGGCAUGGGGCACAUUCCGUGGAAAAUAGGGUUCCCCCAGAAUGAUGACCCGUACGGUUACAGAAGCCGGAAGAGAAAGAUGGAUCGGGAAGCAGAUGUUGUGGCGCGGUUGGCAUCGGAAAUGGAUGUGAUGAAGAAAACCGUGAGUGUACUAGUAGCCGAACGAGAUGCAGCUCGGGCGCAGCAUGAAGAUCAUCCAGCGGAUCUCAGAAGCCAGCAGCGGAGAAGCAGUGUGGCUUCCACGGAGGCCCCACCGGCUGGUGCAGAUGCACCGACGAUCGAAAUUACUGCACCUGAGCCUCUGGUGGUCGAAAUUACUGCACCGGAGCCUCUGGUGGUCGAAAUUACUGCACCGGAGCCUCCUCGCUACCCCGUGGAUGAUAUAAAGGAGAUGAAAGAAUGUCAUCUGUAUUAUCCUAUCGGGAACAUGUCCGUGAAGGUAGCCAUCGGCAGUGCUUUACCAUGUUUACCUGGAGCACUCCACCACAACACCCCCAUUCAAGAUGGCUAUGCUCGUGUCACGGUGGAGGACAUAGUCCAAGGGUUUGAGGACCUGGAGAUUGACAUUGCUACACCUGAAGGGGAGAAAAGACUUGGAGAUGUCAAGCGCCAUUUCAUUCUAUGGCAAAAGAAGUUUAUCAAGUUUCCAGGCGAGGCGCCAAGGACAACAAGUCCACCCCCCUACGGUGGUGGCGGUUCACCUACACCUCCGUCACGUCAGCCGACGCCCCCCAGUCCACAACGUCCGGCGGGUGAUCAGACGCCGCCCCCCAGUCCUCGUCCGGCGGGUGAUCAGACGCCGCCCCCCAAUCCACCUCCGGCAAAGAAGCAGAAGCAGUCCUGGAUUAUUUACCCGGACCCUUAUGUACCUAAGACCACAAAGGUACCGGAGCCAUCAUUGAAGCCUCUCCCCACAAGGCCUUGGGAACGUAGUGCCGAGGAAACUGCCGCGGCCGCGGCUGCUGAUCAUGAGAAAUGGAAGGCGGACUGCAAGAAGAAAAGAGAGCCCGAGCCCAAGCCAGUAUUUUCUGAUGAGCAAAAGAAGUGGGCUAAGUCAUUUUUGAGCACACCGUCCCAAGCCGCGAAGAAUCUGCCUGACGACUAUGCACGUGAACUUCGUAGGCAGGCACUCAUGUUGAAGGAGAAGAAAGAGCGGGCGGAGAACCAGGAGAACAAAGCCUUGGAGGAGGCCGAGAAAACGGAAUUAGAAAGUAAAAAAAGCGGGAAACGAGUUGCCCAGCUCGGGGAACAAAGUAAACAAUCGAUUGCCCCGCUUAUAGUGAAAGCCGCCGGUCCGGAUGACCCCGAUAUCAUAGCAGCUGCGGCAGCACAUGGAUUGACUGUAACGAGUGCCAGAGAACAAGCGGCCAACUUAGGUAUUACUCUUCGUGAACUGUUAGGCCUUGAUGAGGCACCAGUGAAGGAGGUAGUAAUUACAUAUGUGAAAAAUGGGCCUCUCGUCGAGCCUGCGCAGGAACAGGAUCUACCUCCACAAAUGAAAGGUCUGCUGAAAUGGUACAAGGGUUACAUAAAAAAUAAAAACGCCAAAGAAUAUAUUUAUGCGGAAGUUAGAUAUGAGCAUCACUUCAAACAUUACUAUGUACAAAUUCAUCUGAGUGAAUUGUUCCAGCUUUUCAAUCUGCGCGAGCUCGACAAAUCUAUCAUCAGUUGCUACGUUCUGUAAGUGAUUUAUUUCUACCCCAUCUCGUUCAUAUUGCCUGCACUAUAUAUAUGUCCUAACUAUAUUGUUGUGUCCGCUAUUAUACAUGCAGAAUGAAGAUUAAGGAAUGCAGAGUAAGGAACAUCCAUAAUGUUGGGUUCAUUGACCCACACAUCGUUAAUGGAUAUGUGUUGGAGCAUCACCCCGCCGACAUGGAGGCAGACCUGUGGCAGUUUCUUACAAAGCAGGAACUCAAAAGUGAUAUUCUAUUUCCUUACCAUUUUGGGUGAGUGUUUCUGUCUUGAGCACAUUCUCUUUUGUUUACUCCAUGCAUGGUAUGUGGCCGGCUAAUCGAUGAGUUAUGCAUGACGUACUGUGCAUGUAUCGUGUCCGCAGGUUCCACUGGAUUCUGCUAGUAAUUAAAGUUGACACCUCAGAAUGUCUCGUCCACGACUCUCUGAAUAAGGAUCCAAAGCUUUGGGUCGACAUGAGAAGAAUGCUGCAGAAAUAAUUAUUUUCAUUCAUUUGCGCUCUAUAUCGAUCGGCCUAUUUCGUUCAUUUCCUAAUAUCAAGUAACUAAUAACUCUCUUGUUCAUUUAAUUUUCUUUGCCUCGUAGGGUUUGGAGACGGUUCGUAGAUACAAAGGUCGGUGAAUUCAAAAAAGAGCUAGAAUUCAAAAGGGCAAAGGCUAAGAAUGGUGAGGAUAUUCAGCCAGCGGGGACCAAUCUAUGUGCAUACUAUGUCUGUGAGAUGAUCCGGAGAUACACCUCUGAGCGGGUUCCGAGUGAUACCAAUGCUCAGAGGAAUAACCUCCGGAUGAUGCUUAGUCCAGAAGCUCGCUUCCGACCACUUCAAGAGGAACUUGCUGGAUGGUUCAGGAGGGAAGUCCUCCAUCCUAAAGGAGAACACCAUUACGAGGACGUAGAACUUUAUAUGCAUUAAAUUAUGUAUGGAAACUUGUUCAAAAUUGUAUAUGGUCAUCCGAUGAUAUUGAAUAUAUAUUGUAUAUUCCUCUUGAAUUCUUUUUGGUUCUAAUUUCAAAUUUGUUUGAAAUUGUACAUUCAUAUGCAUGUAUGUAGUACCGUAGAAUAUGUGAAACUCCUUCAAAAUUAAAAUAAAGCACAAAAGAAAUAAAACAAUACAUAUUAAACAGAAAACAGGUUUAAGGGGGGAGGGGGGGCUAAAACCCUAAACCUGCGGCGGCCUUUAGUCGCGGUUGGCCAGAAGAACCACGACUAAAGGUCCUCCGCCCCGACGGCCACCUGGCGCCCACGUGGACGGGCCUUUAGUCGCGGUUCUUAAGCAACCGCGACUAAAGGGUGGGGCCUUUAGUCGCGCCCGUUCGGUCGCGGUUGCGCAACCGCGACUAAUGGCAGUUGCGAACCGCGACCAAAGGCCCUUUUCCCACCAGUGGAGUGAAAAUAAGAAAAAAACAAAUGGGAAAAACCAAAUGUGGCCAUGGAAAAAAAAACUGGCGCUCUAACAAAUGACGAGAUAAGGGAGGCAGAAGAAAAACCAAAUGUGGAUCGAACACGCGACCUUCAGAUCUUCAGUCUGACGCUCUCCCAAGUGAACUAUCCCCGCUUGAUGUUAUUUCAGUUAGUUCCAAUUCUCUUUUUUUGAUUUCUGACUCACUUCAUAUUUGACUCUACACUAACGCUCUUCAAACUAACAUAAGGCCUCAGAAUCUCCACGUAGCAGCGAUCAGUAAAUGUAUUAUAUUACGCAUCUCGUACAACCGUAGCAUAGACUUCUCAACAUAUUUUUAUACGUACUUGAUGAUGUUCUUUCUUUACAUGGAAGAAGGAAAUCCAUGAUCUAUGGAACAAUCCAUGAUCUAUGGAUCACCAGCGGCAGUGCCGCGCAGCACGGAUGGAGAUGGAGGUCCAAGCUCUUAUUGGCGGCGCAGUGGUAGUACAGUGUGAGCACCAUCCCGCCACAGCUGCCGCAUGUCUUGCCACUGCAGCGCGGGUGCUCGUGGCAGAGCUGGAACUCCUUGCCCUUGAACAAUGGGUGCACCAGCAUGCCCUCUGCGAGGGCACAGUCAUUGUGGAGGUCGGAGUCACAGGGUUGGCACGUGUACAUGUCCCCGGCGCCUAGAUCCAUGCAGACGUUGCACUGGAACUCCGCGGCGCCGGUGGCCAUCAGCGCUCCCGGCGGGCGGGGUGGGACGUGGGAGAUUUCCGCAGGAUGUGGCAAGGUUGUCAAAAAACGGUAUUUUCCUUUUUCGGAGGCGGACGUUUUAAAUUGGAUGUAUAUACUACUGGAAUUAUGAUGUACACCGGGUGUCAUGUUCUUCGCCGAGUACCAAAACACGGACACUCGACAAAGAAAAUAACAACGAGAGUCACUUUUGGCAAACCUAGCUUUACGACAAACUGCCUUCUUUGCCGUCACUGCCUCGCGGCAAAGAGGCACCGCACGGCAAACCCUACAGACGUCGAGAGCUGCUCACGACAAAGAGGAGCCACGUGACAUGCCCGUCCGAAACACGACUCCGUCGGUUACUGUGUAUAUCACCGAGAGCGACACUCGGCAAACUAUAUGCCACAUCCUAUUUUCUUUUUUGAGUGUGUUCUUUCUAACUGACAUGUGAUCCCACUGGUCACAUUUAUCAAUAAAAGUUUCAAAUAAUUUGCUAAAUAUUUUUGAACAAAAAUGACGAUAUCUUUCCCGAGAGCUGCUCUCAGCAAUUCUCCUGACCAGUAAGAUAGCGUGGCCACAUGGCAGCUGACAGUUUACAUAUCUUUGUCGAGAGUUGGUCUCGGCAAUGCUCGCCAUCUUUUUCGAGAGCUGCUCUCGGAAAAGGUAUGGCACAACAGUAGUGUCUCCCAGACGACCAAUUUUCUGAGAGGAGCUCUCGGUAGUAUAUCGUUUUCCGAGUGUAGCUCUUGGAAAUCUUUCCCAUCCAUUCUACUGUUAAGCUAUUUCUUUUCUGAUCCCUGCAGAUGAAAACAACUACAGUGCAAUUUGGAGUAGUCCACACAUAUAUAGGCAUAAUUUGAUCUACUCCAUAUAUAUAUACAUACAUAUAUAUAUAUAUAAUUAGGGAUAGUCCACAUAUUAUCACACACAAAUCGAAUGUAGUAUCCUAGUAGAUGUCACACACAAGUCGUAAAUUUAUAUAUAUUGUCACUACUUGCAAAACAUGUGCACGUUACAAUAGAAGUACACUUAUUCAUAUAUAGAUCAGCUUGAGGAGGAGAGGCCAUCGGGUUAACAUUCCAGAGGAGGAGGGGCAUCACUUGCACUGCUUCGAGAUUGCAUAAGAACCUAUAAGAGUAGAGUCACGUGAGGAUGGUUCGUCCCUAUGUAAUGAAUCUUCUACUCUAGUUUAGAUAAUGUUCUACCUGUAGUUGAUUCUCAAGUAGCUUCAACCUAUUGUUAGUGUCUUCUCGUUCCUUUUCUUUGGACUCCUCAGCCUUCCGCCUUUGCUCCUCUUCAACAGCCUGCUGCUUCAUUAAAUUCUGUAACAUGGCAUUAGGCUCAUAUAGGUUGGACCGGUGCUAUUUCGAGGCAUGGACAUAAAUGAAAGGUUAGAAUGCUAACCUUGAGACUUGUGGUGCAUCUAUCUCGCAGCGCCGUGAAUGAUGUGAUCUUCAGUGACGUGGAGGUUUCAGGAGGUAUUGCUGUCUACACCUACAAAGAAGAGAAUGUUGACAGAUUUUGCCGUGUAACCGUGCCACUGUUCAACUCUGAAUAUAGUAUGUUGUCUGAACAAGUUAGCAGGAGCAUAGUCUGCACCAGAGGAUUUGGCAAAUAACUUCAGAAUUUUUAAUUGAACAUGGAUAUAUUAUUCUUGGAAGGAAAGUCUACACCAGUAGAUAUUGUGAUCUUCAAGGAUAACCCAACAUUUUAGGUGCUCUACAAGGAAUGGAUAUGAGAACGUUGCAGCGUCACAAUAGUCAAGAACCUCCACAGAAGGGUUCCAAUACUCAAGGUUUAUUUCUAGUGCUUCUUUUUUCCAGUGUAAAGAAGGGAGUAACCACAGUUUCCCCAAUUGUUGAAUCACAGAUGUAUCACCACAUAAACAGAGCAUAUGACAAGUUCAAAAUUCGAGUGCAAAACAUAUGUUCUUGUGCAACACAAAACGUCCGAAGUUUAAGCGCACAAACAUCGGCAACUCGAUUGCAACUACUUUCACUGAAUAAUGUAUCUCUCAUAACAGUAAAAAAACUAUUUCCUAGCCCAAAAAGAUGUUUUCUCGGAUCACAAUCGAUACCCCUACUUUAUGGCUGAAAACCCUUCUUUAUCACCCAAAACCCUAGCUUUAUUACGCCGCCCAAACUUACCAAACCCUGUUCUGACUUGAAUCCGACCGAUCAUCACAACAUUACAUCCCACCGGUGAUUUCCGCGGUGGUGCAGAAGAAUAGAGGCGGAGGGGAUUUCGAGAACUUGUCAUAAUCCGGAGGGAAGAUCCUGUGCGGGCGGACAAGAUGCACGGAGACGGCGGCUCCAUACCGCUGCUGAUCACCGAUGACGUCGCCAAGAGGAGGCGGACAUCAUCAAGGGAACGUCGACACGACGAGUUCUCCGAUAGAGGAGGCAAAGAGAUGUGUUAGAAGUGAGUGCUUUGAUUUAAUUCAAUUUUUUUUUAAUCUCCACCGAUGUGCUCGAGUUGGAGUGCAGUUUUCCCCCCGCAAAACGCAAUGACCGGCUUGGCCCCUCCGCCGCUAACGUGCCGCUAGAUGUCGCGUGCUGAUUGGCUCGACUAAUUUGCACAUCGGCAACAAGUUCCUGGGUGGCAGGGCGAGCAAUCGCAAGUUGUGUCACCGGCCAGAGUCCAGACAGUUUGUGGGUGUGCAGUGUUGUUACAUCUUUUUUAUGUUUUUUUAGAAUCAUCUUUUUUAUGUGAGAGGCUUUCACAAAUCUCUAAAUAAAUAAAGGACGCGUCUAGUGGGCGGCCGGCUGCCCACUAGCGCGAUCGAGCAGCUGGCCAUAAAAAGCAACUUCCUGUCCCCCACGUGGUACAGAAAAAGCAGGAUCGAGCUGCCACCAAACCGAGUGAUUCCAGCGCCCAAUCCCGAACAAAAAGCGACCCCCCCACGUGGCCAGCUGUCCACAAACUCGCUCGCCCCCACGUCCCAACCCCUCCCACGCCCGCUCGCCCAGGCAAUCCCACGCUGCUUUCUUGACCUGCAGGAAAGAAAGGGAUCCAAAGCUCCUUCUUCCUCCUCCUAUAUAGCCGCCAUGGGAGCAGAAAGAUAGAUGAAUCUGCUUCAACAAAUUGAUCUAAAAUGCAGGGUGAUCAGACCCAUACCAGGCAACAAACAUCAGGCAAGUACUUCCUCUCUAACCCUCUUCAGUUGUCCCCUUUCUUGUACUGCAUCUAUAAAACACCCUCCUCCAUGGAUCCAUCAGCAAAUCCAUGAAGAAUCUGCUUCAAAAAAAGAGUACAUUUGAAACAUCACCUUAUUGUGAACAUCACACCGGCCGCACCCCCCCCCCAUGAGUGCAUCUGCACACUAACUUAGGGUUCCCAGAUCGAAACUGAACGUGUUUUUCUAAACAUGCAUGCUAAGCAAGUUUACCCUGCCCCUUUUAUGUGUUCAACAAGUCAACUAAGACAUAUUUACUGGCCAACAAAUACAUGAUUCUAGCCAACUGAACAUGCAUGCUUGCCAACUAGAUAUAUGCAUCCUGGCCAACUGAAACGUCUAUUCUAGCCAGCUGAACACAUUGACUGUGCAACGGAACAUGCAUGCUGGCCAACUGAUAUAUGCAUCCUAGCCAAUUGAAAUGUCUAUUCUAGCUAGCUAAACACAUUGACUGUGCAACAGAACAUGCAUCCUGGCCAAGCUGAUAUAUGCAUCCUGGCCAACUGAAAUGUCUAUUCUAGCCAGCUAAAUACAUUGGUUGUGCAACAGAACAUGCAUUCUGGCCAAAAUGAUAUAUGGAUCCAUGAAAAUUCAAACAUCUAUUUUAGCCAACUAAACACAUUGGCUGUGCAACUGAACAUGCAUGCUGACCAACUGAUAUAUGCAUCCUAGGAAAAUUGAAACAUCUAUUCUAUCCAACUGAAUACAUGGACUGUGCAACUGAAUAUGCAUGCUGGCCAACUGAUAUAUGCAUCCUGGGAAAUUGAAACAUCUAUUCUAGCAAAAUUGAACACAUUGACUGUCAAACAAAACUUGCAUGCUGGCCAACUGAUAUAUGCAUCCUGGCCAACUCAAAGAUCUAUUCUAGCCAAAACCAAAAAACUGCAGUACGGCAACUUCUGCAGCAAUAUGUGCAACAGAUAAAUAAACAAGGUUAUUGAAGCCAUAAAACCACAUUAAAGUAGUCACACAUAUAUUCUGGUAGCACACCUAUUGCAAAGCUAUAGUGUAAAAAUAUGUUCAAAUAUACUGAAAGUAGAAACAGAAACGGCGACGAAAAACAUAUAUCUAUAGUCUGUCAUCAAAUUCUUCUUUCUUCUUUCACCUGGAUUUUGCAUCUGAAAAAGUAGCAUCAAAUUGUGUCCCUAUUAUGUGCAGCAAAAUUUGAAUAAGCUCCUUGCCAACGGAACCCUGCGGAUCAUUGCAAUAAAAGCAGAGGAAAAAGUCAGAAAACUCUAUGGCAAAAAGAAGUCAAGUUCUUGCCAACUAUUUACUACAAACUGUGCAACUAACAUAACAACUCUGUGCAAAAACAAAAAAUGCAUGCAUGUUAUAAUAAAAGAUUCUGCUACAGACAUGUUGCUUUUGGAACUAAGAUUGUCAUAAAAUGGUGUGCAACUGCCUAUUUACUAAGUUUUUUGGUUGUUUGAAACACUCUUUUCUAUGAUUAACAACUGAUGACAUCACUUUCUUCUUUUUUAUAUGUGCAGUGAGUGUGUGGCAGCAUCCAAAAAAAGGAAAAAAAUGCUUGUUUUCAAUGAGCUUCCUCAUGAUACGGAUCAGCAGCAACCCAGCAUACCACAAGGAAACUGGACAGAAAAUGUACGAUCUGUUUACUACACACAGGCUAGUCAUGGUGGAAACCCUAUGGGCCAUGACAAUGUGGUAGACCAACCAUCAACCCGUGGUGCCCCUGUAGUGGUGUCUUUGCAGUCAGAGAGCCAUACUCUAGAUGACAUGGGAACCGAGGCAAAUGUUCCUCAUCCAACCAGGACUGAGCUAGGAGCUGGGGCUGUUGACGGAGCUGUGCAAGAAGAAGAAGGAGAGGAUGAGGCUGGUUCUCAACGUAUGGAACCCUAUGUUGGCACGAGGUUUGACAGCCUUCAAAUUGCUAAGGAUCACUACAACAGCUACGCACUACGGAUGGAUUUCUCUAUCAAUAUGAACACAUCUAGACGGACACCCCGCACCAAUGAAUUGAUAAAACAACAGUUUUGCUGCAACAAGUUCAAGAAGCCCAAAGCUGAUGAUGGAGGAGCUGAGGCUCCUCCUGUUUUGGACCCUAUUCCAGAUCCAAAAUCUGUUGACAGUGAUGAGGAGAUGAAAGAAGAACCUCCAAUAUUUGCUGAAGAGGAGGCUGGUACUAGUAAGAAGAAGAAGAAGCGCAAACGUGAGACAAUAAAGCAGACUCAGUGCAAAGCAAAAAUGUUGGUGAAGCUGAUAGAUGGGCGAUGAGAGGUGACACACUUUGUUCGUGACCACAAUCAUCCGCUCGUGAACAAACCUUCAUUGUCCAAAUACUUGAGAUCCCACCAAGGCAUCUCACCUGAUGAAAAGGAGUUUCUGCGCAUCUUGUAUAACUGCAACUUGACUACAGGUGUGGUGUUUUUCUAUAUCCCUUAAAGAAUUAAGUUUUCCUCUAGGCAGUCUAGUGUGCAACUUUUAUGGUAGUACUGUGCAACUGAAAUGACUUAACUGUGCAACUGGUGUCCAACUGGUGUGCCACUGAAAUGACUUCACUUUUGGUGCUUGUUGUGCAACUAGAUUGUCUUUACUGUGCAACUAGACGAUGUCAUGUAUGCAAAAAGUGCAAAAGUGUUUUUAAAAAGAUGCAGCUAGGUGUCCAUUUCCUGCGAUUAUCUUUUGUGCCAACACAUUUCCUAUUACUGUGCAGCUGGAUGUGCGCAUUCGUGCAACUAAAAGAAGGAUAUACUAUUUUUUUGUAUUAUGCAGGACGUAUGAUGCAUGUAAUGGCAGAGUUUUAUGGAUCUAAGAUGAUGGUGCCAUUCGGACCAAAGGCAAUAACUAAUAUUUGUACAAGUUUCUGUAAAGAUGACACAAAGGAGGGUGAUCUGAUUGAGACAAUUGCGCACUUCAAGGAUAUUAAAAAACCGAUCCAGACUUCUUCUAUAAGGUGAAAUAUGAUGAAGAGGACAGAGUUGUCAACAUAUUUUGGGUGGAUGGCUUAGCUCGAAAAGCUUAUGCGGAGGCGUACCACGAUUGCAUAUCGUUUGACACCACCUACAUGACCAACAUGUACAAUAUUCCGUUUGCACCCUUCAUAGGAAUAAACUGACAUGGCCAAUCUUUCAUGUUGGGUUGCGCGUUUGUGAGGCAGGAGUUGGCAUCGAGCUUUGAUUGGGUCUUUGGAGCAUUCCUAGAGGCUAUGGAUGGCAAACCUCCUGACAACUUCAUAACCGAUCAGGAUGGUGCAAUGAGGCAGUCAAUACAGAGCAUCUUUCCAAACCACAGUGCACCGCUGUUGUCGAUGGCACAUCAUGAAAAAGGCUCAGGAAAAAGUUAGUUGGCUGCUGUGCCGGAAUCCAGGACUCUCUGAUGAUUUCAACAAGUGUGUUGACUUCAGCUUCACUAUAGACGAGUUUGAGCAGAAUUGGGCUGGGUUAAUGGUGAAGUACGAGGCUAUGACACACACACACACACACUUUGAGAAGUUGUACGAAUACAGGUCAACUUGGAUGUCGUGCUACUUCAAGCACAGGUUCUUCCCGUUCCUACAAUCUACAUAGUGUAAUGAGGGGUUCAACACCGUCCUGAAAAGAUAUGUGAACCCACACAACUCAAUGCUGAACUUCGUCAAGCAAUAUGAAAAAAAUCCAGAACCACAUCCUUGCCAAGGAAGGCUGCAAUGAUUAAAGGACAGAACACCUUGAGAUUGAGCUGUGGUCCAACUUCCCAAUAGAGAAGCAAGUUUACAAAACCUAUACUAGGGACCUUUACCGCAAGUUCAGAGAAGAGUUUGAGCUGAUUGGAUGUUAUAAUGCAUUCCAAGUUGGUGCUGAUAUAGAGCUCAGACCGAACCAGGAAUUUGUUGCCAAAUAUGGUUCUCGAAACUACUUGGUGUAGGCAAGGGUGGAGGAGGGCUCCUAUUUGUGUGAGUGCUGUAAAAUGGACAAAGACGACAUCCUCUAUUGCCACAUCCUCAAGGUGUUCACCCAUAUUGGAGUUGAUGUCAUACCGGAAAGGUACCUGCUAAGACAGUGGACACCUACUGCUAUACCUAGUGCGCCAGGGACUGGUUAUGAGCAACCGGAUGAAAUGCCUCCUCAGUCAAAGAAGCAGAUAAGGGAGAGGAACAUGAUAUACGAUUUUUGGAAACUAGCAAAGUUUGUGAGUGGUUCUGAUCCAGCACAAGCUAUUGUACACAAGCAUAUGCGUGCAACACGUACCGAGAUCGGCCACAUGAACAAGUCCAAGAAAAAGAAAAAACCGACUGCUGCCACGGGGCCAUCAGAUGAUGGCAACCCUCGAGGACCUCCUCCACCUCCACGCAGCAAUCAGGGUGCUCAUUAUCCAGCUAAUUAUCUGCCCCAACUCCUGAUCUAAAUAGGUGUGUAACUUCAGUUGCACACAUCAUUGUGCCUAGUUGCACACAUCAUGGUGGCCAGUUGCAUAGAAACAGGCUGCCUAGUUGCGCAUACUGUGUUAGUUCAAGCAUCGAGAUAACAUAACUAACUUGUUUUUCCUGUUCUGGAUAUAGAUGAUGUCAACCCUCAAGGACAUCCUCCACCUCCUGGCCCUAUAGGUAGCACUCAGGGGCCUCAUCGUCCAGGUAAUUACCUGCCCCAACUCCCAAUCAAACUAGGUCUGUAACUCCAGUUGCACACAUCAUGGUGCUCAGUUGCACAGAAAACAGGCUACCUAGUUGCGCACGUUGUGUUAGUUCGAGCAUCAAAGAUAACACAACUAACUUGUUUGUCCUGUUCUAUCUAUAGGUGAUGCCAACCCUCAAAGACCUCCUCCCCCGCCUGGCCCAACUAGCAGUGCCCUGCGUGCUACUCCCAAUGGACCUACAUGCAGGACUCAGGGGGCUCAUCACCCAGGUAAAAUACCUUCCCCAACUCCCAACAAAACUAGGAUGUGUGACUUCAGUUGCACAUAUCAUUAUGCCAGUGCAACGUCUUGAGCUUGCAUUGGUUUUCCUCGAAGAGGAGAGGGUGAUGCAUCAAUAGUAGCGUAAGUAUUUCCCUCAGUUUUUGAGAACCAAGAUAUCAAUCCAGUAGGAGGCUCCUCAAAAGUCACACGCACGUACACAAACAAACUGAGAACUCGCAACCAACGCGAUAAAGGGGUUGUCAAUCCCUUCACGGCCACUUGCGAAAGUGAGAUCUAAUAAAGAUGGUAAGCUAAGAUAAAUAUGUUUUUGGUAUUUUAUAAUAUGGAUGCAAAAAGUAAAGAUGCAAAUAAAAGUAGAUUGAAAGCAAAUAUGAUAAGAGAUAGUCCCGGGGGCCAUAGGUUUCACUAGAGGCUUCUCUCAAGAUAUCAUAAGUAUUACGGUGGGUGAACAAAUUACUGUCGAGCAAUUGAUAGAAAAGCGCAUAGUUAUGAGAUUAUCUAGGCAUGAUCAUGUAUAUAGGCAUCACGUCCAUAACAAGUAGACCGACUCCUGCCUGCAUCUACUAUUAUUACUCCACACAUCGACUGACUCCUGCCUGCAUCUAGAGUAUUAAGUUCAUAAGAACAGAGUAACACAUUAAGCAAGAUGACAUGAUGCAGAGAGAUAAACUCAUGCAAUAUGAUAUAAACCCCAUCUUGUUAUCCUUGAUGGCAACAAUACAAUACGUGCCUUGCAACUCUUUCUGUCACUGGGUAAGGACACCGCAAGAUUGAACCCAAAGCUAAGCACUUCUCCCAUGGCAAGAAAGACCAAUCUAGUAGGCCAAACCAAACUGAUAAUUCGAAGAGACUUGCAAAGAUAACUCAACCAUACAUAAAAGAAUUCAGAGAAGAUUCAAAUAUUAUUCAUAGAUAAACUUGAUCAUAAACCCACAAUUCAUCGGAUCUCGACAAACACACCGCAAAAAGAGUUUACAUCGAAUAGAUCUCCACAAGAGAGGGGGAGAACAUUGUAUUGAGAUCCAAAAAGAGAGAAGAAGCCAUCUAGCUAAUAACUAUGGACCCGUAGGUCUGUGGUAAACUACUCACAACUCAUCGGAGGGGCAAGGAUGUUGAUGUAGAGGCCCUCCGCGGUCGAUUCCCCCCCCGGCAGAGUGCCGACGAAGGCUCCAAGAUGGGAUCUCGCGGAUAUAGAAGGUUACGGUGGUGGAAAUUGUGUUUCAUGGUGCCCCUGGAUGUUUUCGGGGUACGUAGGUAUAUAUAGGAGGAAGAAGUACAUCGGUGGCCGCCCGAGGGGCCCACGAGACAGGGGGCGCACCCUAGAGGGGGGGGGGCUCCUAUCUCGUGGAGCCCUCAGCUGCUUCUUGACUUGCAUUCCAAGCUCUCCGGAUCACGUUCGUUCCAAAAAUCACGCUCCCGAAGGUUUCAUUCCGUUUGGACUCCGUUUGAUAUUCCUUUUCUUCGAAAUAUUGAAAUAGGCAGAAAAAACAGCAAUACGGGCCGGGCCUCCGGUUAGUAGGUUAGUCCCAAAAAUGAUAUAAAUGUGUAAAAUAAAGCCCAUAAACAUCCAAAAGAGGUAAUAUAAUAGCAUGGAACAAUCAAAAAUUAUAGAUACGUUGGAGACGUAUCAAGCAUCCCCAAGCUUAAUUCCUGCCCGUCCUCGAGUAGGUAAAUGUAAAUAAGAAAUUUUUGAUGUGGAAUGCUACCUAGCAUAAUUCUCAAUGUAAUUUUCUUUAUUGUGGCAUGAAUGUUCAGAUCCAAAUGAUUCAAAAUAAAAGCUUAUAAAACAUAAAAAUAAUAAUGCUUCAAAGCAUACUAACAAAAAAUCAUGUCCUAUCAAAAUAACAUAGCCAAAGAAAGCUUAUCCCUACAAAAUCAUAUAGUUAGGCCAUGCUUCAUUUUCAUUACACAAAAUACUCCCAUCAUGCACAACCUCGAUGACGAGCCGAGCAAUUGUUUCAUACUUUUUAACGCGCUUCAACUUUUUCAACUCUUACGCAAUACAUGAGCGUAAUCCAUGGACAUAACACUAUAGUGGUAUAUGGUGGUGGUUGUGAGGACAAAAAGAGGGAGAAGAUAAUCUCACAUCAACUAGGCGUACUAACGGGCUAUAUAGAGGUGCCCAUUAAUAGAUAUCAAUGUGAGUGAGUAGGGAUUGCCAUGCAACGAAUGCAGUAGAGCUAUAAAUAUAUGAAAGCUGAAAAAAGAAACUAAGUGGGUGUGCAUCCAACUUGCUUGCUCAUGAAGACCUAGGGCAUUUUGAGGAAGCCCAUUGUUGGAAUAUACAAGCCAAGUUCUAUAAUGAAAAAUUCCCACUAAGUAUACGAAAGUGACAACAUAGGAGACUCUCUAUCAUGAAGAUCAUGGUGCUACUUUGAAGCACAAGUGUGGAAAAAGAGAUAGUAGCAUUGUCCUUUCUCUCUUUUUAUCUCAUUUUAUUAUUUUUUCUUUUCUCUUUUUUUCUUUGGCCUUUUUUUUUCUUUUUGGCCUUUCUCAUUUUUUUUCUUUUUUUUAUUUCUCUUUUUUUUCUUUUUGUAAAGUCCGAAGUCUCAUCCCUACUUGUGCGGGAAUCAUAGCCUUCAUCAUCCUUACCUCACUAGGACAAUGCUCUAAUAAUUAAGAUCAUCACACUUCUAUGGAUUUACAACUCAAGAAUUACAACUCAAAGCUAGAACAAGAUCUGACUCUAUAUGAAUGCCUCCGGCGCUGUACCGGGAUAUGCAAUGAAUCAAGAGCGACAUGUAUGAAAAUUAUGAAGGUGGCCUUGCCACAAAUACGAUGUCAACUACAUGAUCAUGCAAAGAGCAAUAUGACAAUGAUGGAACGUGUCAUAAUAAAUGGAAUGGUGGAAAGUUGCAUGGCAAUAUAUCUCGGAAUGGCUAUGGAAAUGCCAUAAUAGGUAGGUAUGGUGGCUGUUUUGAGGAAGGUAAAUAAGGGGUUUAUGAUACCGACAAAAGUUGCGCGGUAAUAAUAAAGGCUAGCAACGUAAAAGGAUGAGUGUGCAUAUGUCCAUGGACUCACAUUAGUCAAAAGAGAACUCAUAUACUUAUUGAAAAAGCCUACUUAGCCCUCGAAGCAAAGUACUACUACGCAUGACCCAAGAGGGAUAGAUUGGUAGGAAAAGACCAUCGCUCGUCCCCGACUGCCACUCAUAAGGAAGACACUCAAAAGAGCACCUCAUCCAACAAAUUUGUCACACAACUUUUACCAUACGUGCAUGCUACGGGACUUGCCAACUUCGACAAAAGUAUUUCUCAAUUUCAUAAUUACCCACUAGCAUGACCCUAACAUUACUACCUUUAUAUCUCAAAACAACUAUCAAGCAUCAAGUUGAUCAUAGCAUCCAAUUCUUAUUCUAUGAUAGUUUUUAUUAUACCCAACUUGGAUGCUCAUCAUUCUAAGACCAACUUUGUAACCAUAGCAAAUACCAUGUUGUUCUAAAAAACUCUCAAAAAUAUAUAAGUGAAGCAUGAGAGACUAGAAAUUUCUUCAAAAUCAGGACACCACCAUGCUCUAAAAGAUAUAAGUGAAGCACUAGAGCAAAAACUAUCAAGCUCAAAAGAUAUAAGUGAAGCACAUAGAGUAUUCUAGCAAAUUCUAAUCAAAUAAGCUUCUCCCAAAAGGUGUGUACAGCAAGGAUGAUUGUGGUAAACUAAAAAGCAAAGACUAAUAUAAUACACGAUGCUCCAAGCAAAACACAUAUCAUGUGGCGAAUAAAAAUAUAGCUCCAAGUAAAGUUACCAAUGAACGAAGACGAAAGAGGGGAUGCCUUCCUGGGGCAUCCCCAAGCUUAGGAUUUUGGCUAUUCUUGAAUAUCUUGGGGUGCCUUGGGCAUACCCAAGCUUAGGCUCUUGCCACUCCUUAUUCCAUAGUCCAUAAAAACUUUACCCAAAACUUGAAAACUUCACAACACAAAACUCAACAGGAAAUCUUAUAAACUCCGUUAGUGAAAGAAAACAAAACCACUACAUAAGGUACUGCAAUGAACUCAUUAUUUAUUUAUUUUGGUGUUAAACCUACUGUAUUCGAACUUCCUUAUGGUUUAUAAACUAAUUUACUAACCAUAGAUGCAUUGAAAUAAGCAAACAACACACGAAAAACAGAAUCUGUCAAAAACAGAACAGUCUGUAGCAAUCUGUAACUAACGCAAAUUGCUGGAACUCUAAAAAUCCUACCAAAAUAGGAAGUCCUGGACAAUUUGUUUAUUGAAAAGCAGAAAAAAGAAUCAACGCAAAAUCACGUUCCUGUGAUUUAACAAAAUUAUAUUCGUGCCCGCAAAGUUUCUGUUUUUCAGCAGAAUCAAAUCAACUAUCAUCGUAGGUUAUCCUAUAGGUUCUACUUGGCACAAACACUAAUUAAAAGAUAAAACACAUCUAAACAGAAGGUAGAUGCAAGAUUUAUUACUAAACAGGAGCAAAAACAAAGAACAUAAAGAAAAUUGGGUUGCCUCCCAACUAGCGCUAUCGUUUAACGCCCCUAGCUAGGCAUAAAAACAAAGAUAGAUCUAAGUAGUGCCAUAUUUGGCACUAGAUUCGUAAGUAGCACGCAUGAUAGAUUCAUAAGGUAAUUUGACUUUAUUUCUUGGAAAGUGCUCCAUGCCUUUCUUUAAUGGAAAUUGGAAUCUAAUAUUCCCUUCCUUCAUAUCAAUAAUCGCACCAAUCGUUCUAAGAAAAGGUCUACCAAGAAUAAUAGGGCAAGAAAGAUUGCAAUCUAUAUCAAGAACGAUAAAAUCUACGGACACCAAAUUUCUAUUUGCAACAAUAAGAACAUCAUUGAUCCUUCCCAUAGGCCUUUUAAUGGUGGAAUCCGCAAGGUGCAGAUUUAAAGAGCAAUAAUCAAGAUCAUGGAAACCUAGAAUAUCACAUAAAGUUUCGGAAUCGUGGAAACACUAGCACCCAAAUCACACAAAGCAAAACACUCACAAUCUUUAAUUCUAAUCUUUAUAGUAGGUUCCCACUCAUCAUUAAGUUUUCUAGAUAUAGAAACUUCCAAAAUUAAGUUUUUCAUCAUAAGAUUGCAUCAAGGCAUCAACGAUAUGUUUGGUAAAAGUUUUAUUUUGACUAUAAGCAUGAGGAGAAUUAACAAUGGAUUGCAACAAGAAAAUACAACCUUUUAAAGAGCAAUUAUAAUAAUCAAAUUCCUUGAAAUCCGAGAUAGUAGAUUCAAUAUUAUUAGAAGUUGAGGAUUCUCCAAUCUCACUUUUACCAAAUUUAGCAAUAAGAUCUAAAGAUUCCGAAUUCUUGGGACGCCUUCUAGGCAAAGUUGAUUCAUCAUCAGUCCCAUUAUCAUCAAAAUUCAUAUUGCAAAAUAUAGAUCUAAUAGGAGACACAUCAAUAACUUUAAGAUCCUCAUCAUUAUUUUCACCUAACUUUUCUGGUUCAGCGGCCAUCUUAUUGACUAAGGUGGCUUGCUUAUCAGAAAUUUUGGCUAUAGUAUUUUCAAGACGGGUAAUUUGAGCAUUAACACCAUAAAAUUCUUCAUUCAUAUCAUCAAGCUCUUUGUUCCUAAACCCCAAAAAACCUUUUUGUUCCUUAAGCUCUUUUCUAAAGAAGUUAUUAUGCUAAAAUUGCAAAUUCAUAAAGCUUCUAAUAUUUGAUUCAAUCUCUUCCAUCCUUCUGAGAAGGUGGUCAUGACCCUUAGGCGAAGCCAUAAGGACAAACAGGCACACAAGCAAACAGAGAAGGGCAAGCGAAAGAGAGGAGGAGAUUGCGAAAGAGAGGGCGAAUAAAACGGCAAGGGUGAAGUGGGGGAGAGGAAAACAAGAGGCAAAUGGUAAAUAAUGUAAAUGCGAGGGAGAUGGGUUUGUGAUGGGUACUUGGUAUGUCUUGACUUGAGCGAAGACCUCCCCGGCAACGGCGCCAGAAAUCCUUCUUGCUACGUCUUGAGCUUGCGCUGGUUUUCCUCGAAGAGGAGAGGGUGAUACAUCAAUAGUAGCGUAAGUAUUUCCCUCAGUUUUUGAGAAACAAGGUAUCAAUCCAGUAGCUGGCUCCUCAAAAGUCCCACGCACCUACACAAACAAACUGAGAACUCGCAACCAACGCGAUAAAGGGGUUGUCAAUCCCUUCACGGCCACUUGCGAAAGUGAGAUCUAAUAAAGAUGGUAAGAUAAGAUAAAUAUAUUUUUGGUAUUUUAUAAUAUGGAUGCAAAAAGUAAAGAUGCAAAUAAACAUAGAAUGAAAGCAAAUAUGAUAAGAGAUAGACCCGGGGGCCAUUGGUUUCACUAGAGGCUUCUCUCAAGAUAGCAUAAGUAUUACCGUGGGUGAACAAAUUACUGUCGAGCAAUUGAUAGAAAAGUGCAUAGUUAUGAGAUUAUCUAGGCAUGAUCAUGUAUAUAGGCAUCACGUCCAUAACAAGUAGACCGACUCCUGCCUGCAUCUACUACUAUUACUCCACACAUCGACCGACUCCUGCCUGCAUCUAGAGUAUUAAGUUCAUAAGAUCAGAGUAACGCAUUAAGCAAGAUGACAUGAUGUAGAGGGAUAAACUCAUGCACUAUGAUAUAAACCCCAUCUUAUUAUCCUCGAUGGCAACAAUACAAUACGUGCCUUGCAACCCUUUCUGUCACUGGGUAAGGACACCGCAAGAUUGAACCCAAAGCUAAGCACUUCUCCCAUGGCAAGAAAGACCAAUCUAGUAGGCCAAACCAAACUGAUAAUUCGAAGAGACUUGCAAAGAUAACUCAACCAUACAUAAAAGAAUUCAGAGAAGAUUCAAAUAUUAUUCAUAGAUAAACUUGAUCAUAAACCCACAAUUCAUCAGAUCUCAACAAACACACCGCAAAAAGAGUUUACAUCGAAUAGAUCUCCACAAGAGAGGGGGAGAACAUUGUAUUGAAAUCCAAAAAGAGAGAAGAAGCCAUCUAGCUAAUAACUAUGGACCCGUAGGUCUGUGGUAAACUACUCACAACUCAUCGGAGGGGCAAGGAUGUUGAUGUACAGGCCCUCCAUGGUCGAUUCCCCCUCCAACAGAGUGCCCGGCGAAGGCUCCAAGAUGGGAUCUCGCGGAUACAGAAGAUUACGGUGGUGGAAAUUGUGUUUCGUGGCGCCCCUGGAUGUUUUCGGGGUACAUAGGUAUAUAUAGGAGGAAGAAGUACGUUGGUGGCCGCCCGAGGGGCCUACGAGACAGGGGGCAUGCCCUACAGGGGGGCGCAGCCUCCUAUCUCGUGGAGCCCUCGACUGCUUCUUGACUUGCACUCCAAUCUCUCCGGAUCACGUUCGUUCCAAAAAUCACGCUCCCGAAGGUUUCAUUCCGUUUGAACUCCGUUUGAUAUUCCUUCUCUUCGAAAUACUGAAAUAUGCAAAAAAAACAGCAAUACAGGCUGGGCCUCCGGUUAGUAGGUUAGUCUCAAAAAUGAUAUAAAUGUGUAAAAUAAAGCCCAUAAACAUCCAAAAGAGGUAAUAUAAUAGCAUGGAACAAUCAAAAAUUAUAUAUACGUUGGAGACGUAUCACCCAGUUGCACAGAACAUGCUGCCUAGUUGCGUGCGCUGUGUUAGUUUGAGGAUCAAGCUAAAAAUCUAACUUGUUUUUCCUGUUCUACCCAUAGGCAAUUACAAUCCAAGUACCAUGACGGGACGUGCUACUCCAAGUGUUUUUUCAACUUAACCUGCACACAUCAACCAGUUAGGUGCACAGCAUGGGCUGCGUGGUUGCAGAGAACAUUAGUGCUGGUUGCACAACAAAAAAAGUACUAAAUUUUUUAUAUGAUUAUUACACAGGUGAUCGUGAUGGUCCUACUGCCCCGUUGGAGGAUGCAUCCCCUGCACAAGCUUCUGAUGACUUUGUGCCCAGGGAUCCUCCAAGGUCUACUACAAAGGGUAGGGCAAAAAGUUGACGGUACAAAUCGGCGCUGGAGCUACACCCAAAGAAGAAAAACAAAUGCAACCAAUGCCAAUCUACAGAGCACACUGCUGGUGUGUGUGUCCACUCAGGCUACUGUGAUUCUGUUUCACCAUUUGUAACUUUGAGACAAAAAAGGAAAAGAAUGAUGUUUUUUAGCAAUGCUGGGACCAAGUAGACACAUUCAGCAUCUAUGAUUUCUCUUUAUCUAAUUUAUGCUCCUUGAAUUAUUUCAUGCACUGUGUAAAAAAUGUUGCUAUUUGUACCUUUGUUGGCAACUGGUUAAAUAUUUAGUUGUUGAACAAUUGUAUGUCAAGUGCUCCUAAUAUAUCAACAAAAGUGAUGAUAUUGACUUGCAAACGGAAUUGCUACUAGUGUGCAACUACAAAAUCUGCUUAAAAAUUGUGCAAACCAGCAACUACCUCCAUGGAGCAGAGAAAGAAAAAGAGUACUGACCUAGUCCUUGUCGUAUCUCAGCAACUUCCUCCAUGGGGCGGUGUUGUGCACGCUGGUGACCCAGUCAUAUGCCAUCUUCUUCCUGAUGUUGAGUACUUCCUUGGGUUCGUAGUUGGGCAGUUGGCUAUCGUUCCACUCGGUGGCGUUAAGCAGUGCGAACAACCCACACUCAUUACUGCGAUGGGCAAGAAAAGAAAAUUUGUCACAUAAAAUUAAAACCAAAUAAAGAUAAUGCACUCUGUGCAACUGCUUAUGUUCUACUGUGCAACUGUUUAUGUUCUACUGUGCAACUACUUAUGUUCUACUGUGCAACUUCUUAUGUGCCACUAUGCAACUGCUUAUGUGCCACUCUGCAACUGGCUAGAUAAUCCAUUAGAAACUCAUAAAAAUGAUAAACAGAUUGCAGACUAGUACUGUGUCUUAAAAAACUAAAGAUUGCACAUGUAGAAAAAUUUAAAAACUACAAAAUGAUGGUAAGAAAUUGAGAAGAGAGCCAUGCUUAUUGUCUUACUUGCCGAGCUGCUUCGGUACGUCAAUGUAAAUAAUCUGAAAGUGCUCGAUGCUGAAAUUUGGGUAAUGCUUCCUCCAUAGCUGGCGUACUGCCCCCGCGAUGGUAGAGGCGGUGGUCAUCAGCUCAAUGUCAUCUAGCGUCCUGCUUGAAUCAAGAACUUCGAAGCGUCCGUCCCUCAAGUUGACAUUGAAGACCCAAUAAUGCCUCCCUCCCUCCUUAUCGGUUACAUCAGUGCACUCGAGCACUGGCAGCAUGACCUGCAAGUGUGAACGAUUUCAGACAUAGAUACAGGCUGUAGCUAAGAAAAAACAGUAAAAGACUUGGUCAAGUUAAAACAUGUUGCAACAAGUAUGUGCCAACUAACAGAUGUGCCAUGUGCAACUGAACAUGCUGUGGGUGUCAACAAAAAGAGAUGGAUCAUGUGGGCACAACACUCACCAAGUCCUUCUUGUCGAGACGGUUCUUGUAAUCAAACUUCUUGUUUAUCUCUUUCACGUUGUGGAUACCUUGCUGUAAAUUCAUCUGCAGAGAUUAUAAAGCAUGGCUCAAACUCCUUAGUAGAUGAAAGGCCUCCCUCAAUUGGUCAACAAAAAAGUGCUACAGAACAAAGAUGAGGGUAAGGAAGGUUUUGGAAAAACUUACCGAAAAACUCAGUGGCAUAACAACCUUCUUUGACCCUUCUAGUAAGCUCUCCAUGAUGUGUAAGAUUCCAGUCUCAAUAACAAUUUUUGACAGCCAUUGAACCGGCUUCAUCGAAUCAACUAACUCCUUUAAAGAAAUGUAGAAAUCACCAUACCUGAUUAUCUCAGGGCUGAAUUUUUUUUGAAAGCAAUAAAAAGACAAGUUAGCUCGAAGGGUCAUAGUAGCAAAAAAAAUGUGCAUGAAAUUGAAAAACAGAACAGUGUGCAACUAAAAGCCCUGUUCUGUGCAACAUGCUAUGCUUUCUGUGCAACUAAGUGGCUGGUCUUGUGCAACUGAAAAAGAUAUGUAUGUAGGCUGUGGGGAGUUAGUUUACCUGGUAGCUUCAUCAUUUGCUCCUUCAUGAUGCCUGGCCCAACACAAGAGGGCAGCGUAAAGCUUGUUCACUGCCUCAUUGGAGCUGAAAGACUUCUUCUUGUUGUAGUCAAUGAAUGGAGACCUUUGAGAUGCCGCGAGCCUUAUUACCGUCCUCUGUCUUCAUGCAAUAGGUGGUCCUGAAGAACAGCUCGUGUCAGCUUCUGGUUCUGCGCAUAUCGGGGUGUGGCAAUUCUCUGGUGAUCCAACAUCUAGCUCUUGAGCUAUUGCCUUGCCAGCAUCAGCAGCAGCGCAUCCUUCAUUCACAGCUGCUGGGUCCAACUCACACUCAUCAAUACUAAUCACACCGGCUUCCGCUGUUUCUGCUGCUGGAGCAGGUGCUGGAGCAUGACCAUCUAUGCCGAGGUCAAAAGAUGGUGCAUCACAGAACCCGUCACCAUGAUAAGACUUUAAUCUUCGUAUGGGUUCAAGGACUAGGGCAUCUCCUUGCGGCACAAACAUGGGUGCAUCAUUCACUGACUUGGUUCGUGAUAGUGUUGUAGUUGGCAGCCUUGGAGGCUUGCACCUACUUAUAAUCUUGAACACCUCCUCUUGUGUUAAUGGUUGCUGAAAGUCAGCUCUUGGUGAUGCAGGCUUGCUUGGCUGUUGUGUGCUGGCUCUUGGGGACGGCAAUUUGGUAGUAGGAUCACCUCCUUUUGUGUUUGGCAUUGAAGCAUCUCUAUGAGUAGGCACUUUGGGGCUUGCAGUUGCAGUGGUGCCUUCCUGAGCAGAUGUGGUGGUUUUGACUAUGACCACGCUGCUAACUGACACAUCAGUUGGCACACUGGUAUCUGUAGUUGGCAUCUUUCCAGUCUGAGUUGGCAGCAACCUAGCAGAACUUGGCACCCCUGCAUCAAUGGUUGCAGCUCGCAGUUCUCUCUCGUCUCUGAACCCCAAAUCUUUUGUGGCCUGUUCCCCCUUUGUGCCGCUGGCAAACUUGACAAUCUUUUGUUGCUUAGGUGGUUUUGGUGGGACUGUUGAAAGGGGAGUCUUCCCCUUGAUCUGUUGAACUCCUGUUAUGGUGGUUGGCUCUCUGCUCACUACAGUUGGCAUAUCAGUUUGAAGCACAGCUUUCUUGACCAUAUUUACUUCAGCAUCUGCACUCACCAUCUUCUCCUUGGUUUGAGGCAAAUGUAGAUUCUUCUUCAUUGAAACUUCUUUACGCUUCUGGACCACGUGAGGGUUUGCCAUGGAUGCUACCUUGCUCUUGCCGGAGCUUAGGUCUCGAAGCUGCUUCAAAUAUUCCUUGUAUUUUUCCUUUGAAUGAACCCAGUCAAGACCCUUUCCUGCUUUCUCCAUGUCAAUUUGAUUCUUUUCAGCAACACUUGAUAAGAACGGGCUCUUGUCAAUGGCAACGUUGAUCUUCUCACACAUAUCUUGGUCGCUAAAAUAUGGCACAGGAAAGGUGGUUGGCAAAGCUGGCUUCAAGUUGCAGAGCUUGAACAUAUCAAUGCUGCACUGGGACUCUGCUUCGUCAUUUUUCUUUGACUUCGGCAAAUCCUUGUCUUCCAGCAAGUUUUGUCAAUUAGCAUCUGUAGUGUGCUCCUGCUACUCAGUGAAUUGCUGCUGCUGGCAGGAGUGGCAGAAGUGCUAGUCCUACUGGAUGUGUUGCCGCCUGUACGACCAGAACCAGGGGCAUUGUCAUCAUCAUCAUCAUCGCUGCUGUCGCUGCCUCCACUGGAUCCCCCUUUAUCAUCACCAUAACCCACCUCGUCUUCUUCUUCAUCAUCUUCUUCCCUCUCACUGCCAUCAACUGCUGCACCUUUGUCCCCGUCCACCUCUUUGGCCUCACCUUCUUCUUCCUCCUCCUCUGCCUCACUAUCUUCUUCCUUGUCCUCCUCCUCUCCUUUGUCCUCUUCUUGUUUGUCCUCCUCCUCCUCCUCCUCCUCCUCUUCCUCCUCCUUCUCCUCCUCUUCCUCCUCCUCUUCCUCCUCCUCCUCUGCAUCUUCUUCAUUGUCAUCCUCAUCCUUGUCCUCAUCCUCUGAUUCAUCCGCAUUUGUGUCGUCGUCAUUGUCAACAUCUAUCGCUGCUUCCAUUUCCUCAUCUUCUUCUGACUCAUCCUCAACAAACUCUUCUUCUUGUUGUAUAAUUGACCCCCGUCUCUUUCUUUUUGGAGCACGGCGUGACGCCCCGGUUUGCAUUGAUGGCUGCUGUACGUAAGGAUCAAUAUCCGGUUCCUCAUCAUCAAUCUUGGCAACUGCUUCAAUGAAGGUGCCAACCUGUUCAGUUACAGCCUUGCACAGGUCAUUGACCACUUUCGCAAUCUUUGCCUUUUUCUGCAUCAACACAAAAAAAAGAUUCAAUAUUGAUUCAGUUAGAAAAAAUUAAAAAGUAAAAUGUUUGUAACUGACCAUGAUGUGAUAAGCAAAAACCGACUAAUACACACUUUUUGGCCAACUAAAAACAUGAUUCUAGCCAACUACACAUGCACUGUGGCACAAACUAAAAACAUGCAUUCUACCCAGUUGAUGUCAAUGGUUGUAAACGAACACUUUGACUGUCAAAAAGAACAUGUGCAACUAUAGAAGCUUAUAUGUGCAACUGAACAUACAUCACAACCAACUGAAUCCUUUAUUCUCGCAACUACAAAAGUUAUACAUGUCCAACUGAACAUACAUCCCAGCCAAAAGAAAAUGUUGGUAAGUGGUACAAAUUUAUGUAUGCAAAACACUAACCUGCGGAUUGUAGGUUAUUGGUAACUUGGAUGCCACGAAUGCUUCAGCUUGCAAAAUUCCACCAAACAGUGGUGUCUGCUCCGUGCCUCUAUACUCCUCUUUAAGCUGAUGUAAAAAAACAGAAAAAGAAAAGAACAAGGUUAUCAAAACAAAUUUUUGUGUUAAACAAAACCAAACAUUAUAACCUGUGCAACUACAACAAGAUACUAUGGUAGACAAUUCGACUAUACAUAUAUGCAACUGAACAAAGAUACAAAAACUGUGCAACCCACAUGGCACCUAAAUUUUUUUUCUACCAACUGAUGCCACACAUCUAUGCAACAAGAUUAGUAAAACUGUGCAACUUAAAAAAGAUGGUGUGCCAAUUUAAAAUGAACAUGUGUGCAGAUGCCAAACUUAAAGCUACAAGCUGUGCAACUACAUGAAUUGUUGUGCCAACUGAUGACAGUUUUUGUGCAAUUUCCAAAAAAGUGACUAGACAUCAAAAGAACAUAAAAAAAGAGACUGUUGGAAAAAAACAAAGAGAACUCACUUGUAAUUUGCCGAACACACCAGGAGAGACGGUAUCAUUCUUCAUCACCUUGGCAAUUAGAGUACCAUCCCAUGCAUUCGGUCGCAUCGCGCAGUUGCUUACUGGGAUGUCAUGGACAAGCGCAUCAAGGUAUAGUAUCUUCACCAGACCCAACAAAAGAAAAGCCAAGUUCAGUUAUUAUUAUGAGUAUUUCAGCAAACUAUAACUGCACAAAAAGAAAAAGAACAGAUGGAAGUGGUCGUUUUCACUAACCAUCAAGUGAUACAAGCAGCAGCAAACAGUUUGCUUCUCCUGGUCCAUGUUCCGGAAAGCUUCGUUAAUGUGUUCUGCUACAAAAAGGCAGAUGUUUGUGUUCUUGAGGUUUUCAUGAUCAAGGCCGUGGUUGGUGCUAAGAAAGUGUUGAAGGCAACUACAAGCCAGGCCAUAAAGAAUGUGUCAUCCGUUCUUCCCCCCAUAUCCUUAAUCAUCGUGGUCCAUGUACUGAUCUGGGGAUGAGAAGUUCCAGUUAUGUUGAAGGUCUCUCUGAAUCUCCUAGUUGUUUCCUUGUCAACUUUGUAACAGACUUUUAGACCCCUGUUAGGAAGAUCAAAUACCCUUUGAACACUGUCAGCAUCGACACGGAUCCUUCCCCUUCCUAGGAAAACCAUUUCAGAGGUCUGUGGCUGGUAGGACUGCACCAGGAACUUAGUGAGGUCUGCUGGAAGUGUGUCUGACAAGUUCAAUAGCCCCCCGAACAAACUCUAAACUAGCUCUGACUUCUGUGGUGGGGUUAGAGAGGCGUUGAAAUUUGCAAACCGCGCUGGUGAUGCCCUUAUCCUGCCUGCUUGUGAUGGUCGCUCCACAUCUUCCCCUGCAGCCACCUCAACUCCUUCACCGCUGGCCUGUUAAUGAGAAUAUAAAAACAUUAAGGAAACAUUAAAAACAAGAGAAAAAAUAAGAAUGAAAAAAAAAUCUAACAAUCAUCAUUUGGAUCAGUAUUGGAAAAAGCUAUAUAUUCAUAAAAUGGAUCAUGCCAACUAAUAUGGUGUAUUUGUGCAACUAAUAAAGACCAUGAGGACAACUAAAGACUGCCAGUGUGCAACCUUCAAAAAAAACUAAGAAAAUAUACGAUACCUGGCAACUACAAAAAGUUCUAACGGAUGUGCAACAAUAAGAAAUGAUAUUGCAACAAGAUAACAACAACUAAAAAAAGGUUUGCAAGGAACUGUUCAAUAGCUCAUAAACACACAAAAAAACCACAUACCUCAGCAUCCGUUGCGGAAGAUGCGACAGGUCCUCCAGCAACUGUUGCCUGCACAAAAAAAUGACCAGUGAUGUCAACUAUAAAGAAGCCAACUUGUCAACUACAAGAUGCCAACUAAUGCCAACUAAUGUCAACUGUAUUUAGAUCAAGAUGGCUAGAGAUGUCAACUACAAGGUUGUUAUUGACAAACUAAAAACAAAAAUGGUGGUGAGACCUGCUGCAUAAUUUCAUCAGCGUCUAAAAAGCGAGAAACACUUAUAUUCGAGAAUUUACUUGCCCUAGAAGAUGACUCAACUCCCUUUCCAACUGUUGCACGUCUAGUCCGCUUUACAACACGGAACUGAUCAGCAUCCUAAGAAAAAAUAAAAAACCAAAAAAUGGGCUUGUGUCAUCAGCAUGCCACUUACCUCAACAUCCUCUCCUUGCUCAACACUCCGCGCAAGUCGUGCCUGGCGAUUAGGAGGACGCUUCGACCUCCAGCGAAGCGACUGACUUCCAGAACGCUGAUUAAGCAACCCAAAAAGAAAACAUGAAAAAAGGACAUUAGCAUACAUGCAUAAGUUGAAAACAACUCAAAAACACAGAAAAAGUGAAAAAAAAAGACAUCUUCUUCAUUGCCAUCCGCUUCUCCUCCUAUUAUAACCAUUUUUGCCCUGCAGGAGGAAAUAUAACAAAAGAAAACAUAGUUAGAAGAUGCGGAAACAAACUAGGGAAAUCAUAGAAGGUUGCUUUGAUUUGCAGACAUCUACACAUAAGCAGGACACAAAAAGCAAAAAACCAAAAAACAUGUGGACAACCAACUACUACAAUGAUGUAGCCAACUGGGCAGUAAACCUUGUGCAAACUAGACAACAUAUAAACCAACUAACUAUUUUCUGCCUAGGUCUUACUUGCCAACUGUGACAAGUAAUAACUAGGCAGAAAAUAGUUAACUAAAGGCAACAAGCUCAGUAAGAUAACUUGUGCAAACUGGAACAAGCAAAAAAUGCAAAGCAAAAAAUCCAGCAAAACAAUUGGGCAUACUAUAUUGAAAAAUUAGCAACCAUUCAGUGCUAAUUUGCAAAAAUAAUUGUCCCUAGUUGCACAUGAGGGGAACGCAUGAAAACAACCACAUCCACAACAAAGACUUGCACAUUGAGAAAAAUUAAAUUGGAAAAUUGGCAAGUAUUGGUACUAAUUUGCACAAUCAAGGGGCCCCUAGUUGCACAAAGCAGGAGAAAGCACAUGAACCACCACAGCCACCAUAAUGCUGGUGGAUAGGGUAGACUAUAUUGGAAAACUGGCAAGCAUUGAUGCUAAAUUGCACAGACAAGAGUCCCUAGUUGCACACAGCAGAGGGGGGAAAACAGCAAAGCCAACUAAGUAGAGCAACUAGCACAAAGUGUAUAACAUAUGAACAGUCAACUAGUAAAAGUGAUGCAGCCAACUGAGCAGGCAACUUGUGCAAUUGAAUACCGUAUAGACAACCAACUAGUACAAACAGUGAGCCAACUGACCAAAACAACUGCUGCAACUGCAGAGCAUAUGGACAGCCAGGUACUAUAUGGACGCAGCCAACUGAGCAGAAUUUUGUGCAACUAACCACUUGAAUUACUGAAUCAUGAACUUGCAGGAUCAGGGAAAAUCAGCCAAUGCAUUGCACAUUACAUUGCGCGCAUCUAAUACAACUUGCAGGAUGACUAAGAAUCAUGAACAGAUCUCAAACCUCUGCAAAAUUGAACAGAACAUGAACUAAACAGCCAAAUCGCCCUAAAAUCGCAACGGGCGCCAUGGACAUGCAUCCCUUCUACCUAACGACUACCACGUACCCUGGCCAACUACACGUUGACCCUGGCUAGCCACCCCCGUGCCGUCAAGGGAGUACUAAUUUGCACAAGUGAUGAUAUCUAUUUGCACACGGCAGAAUAAAAAAACACGUGGACCACCACAUCCACCACAAGGCUGGCAGAUUGGGUACACUAUAUUGCAAAAAAUGGCAAGCCUUGGUGCUAAAUUGCAAACAAGGGUUCCUAGUUGCACACAGCAGCGGGAAAACACACGAACCACCAGAUCAAUCACAAAGGAUGGCAGCUUGGCUAGUUAAUGUUGGGAAAUUGGCAAGCAUAGAUACUGAUUUGCACAAAAAAAUGGUCCCUAAUUGCACACAGCAGGGAAAAACACAUGACCCAGGAGAACCACCACAAGGCUGACACAUGGCUAUAUUGUCUCAAAAAUUGUCUACUGCUGCUCCUAUUUUGCACGCAAGGGGCAACACAGUUGCACACCGCGGGGGGAAAACACUCAUCAAAAACACCAGAUCCACCGCGAGGCUACAAUCCACAAACGAACCUCUAUGGCCGCUAACCAAUCAUCCUCCCUGAACCACUCAUCCCGUACGUAUAUACACGAACUCUCCCCCUAUUGCAAUGCAAAAACGACGGGAUGAGCACGACCCUAGCCCAUCCCUGCCAAUCCGGCGGUUUCCCAAACGAAGUAGUCCGCGGGGGUGACCUCAACCUCGCCGGAAAAUGAGUUCGACCUUCCUACCCCCGACCGUGACCUCGAGUUCGACCUUUACCUCGACCUCACCGAAAAAUGUGGGACCUCACCGGAAAAAAGGAGGGGAUGGGGACGAGUACCGGGGAACGCAUGGUAGGAGCAGUACCUGUGCCGCCGCGGACAACGACCCUCGCGGUGCGCCCCGCCGUUGACCACAACCAAUGGCGGAUUUGGAGCCGCCUCCGAGCACCAACCAGCGGCGAGAGCAGGGGGAAAGAGGAGGAAUGGGCGGCGACAGGUGCGGGGUGGACGGGGUAAUGGCACGAAAUUCGAAACCGCCACCCACUACGCACGACGGCUAUCACGCUGGGGAACUGCCUAAUCCUCUAUGACGUGUGGGUCCGUCGGGAAGUUUAUCUCGCGCGGCGCGGCUCGAUCGGACCAGGCGAUCGGUCCACGCGCGGUCCGAGCGGCGCGGCUCCACCACCCGACCAGGGAACACCUGGACAUCGCGCGCCGUCGAUCGGAACGAGAUCGAGCGGCUCUCGUUCGGCCGCUCGUUCUCUCUAGAUAGUGCGCGUGUAUUUUUUAGGUUUUGGGAUAAAUAAACUGUGAGAUGCUUUCACGGUGGGCCUUUGCCCAUCCCGUACUAUUCCACUCCACCGCCGCCAUCCAUCUCUCAUCCCAACCUACCUAUUCCAGCCGCCUCCAAGCUAUGGAGAAGCCAGUGAAGGUGCCGAUGUCCAGGCUCACCGACGACCUAAUCGCGGAGAUCCUCUCUCGGGUGCCCUACAAAUCACUCUGCAUCUGCAAGUGUGUGUGCCCGGCCUGGCGCGACCUCAUCGCCGACCCCGCGCACCGGAAGAAAGUUGUGCAGACCCUGGCCGGCUUUUUCUACCGCAUCACCGGCGAGGUCACGGCCGUCAAGUACGCCGACCUGUCCGCCUUCCCCUGGUCGAGCGUUCCCAAGACCUACCCACGCCUGCCACUGCCAACUGACAACAAUUUCUUCUCUCUUGAGGAUUCCUGCGAUGGAUUGUUUCUUGCCCGCAUUCGGACGGGCACCCCUGCUGGAAAAUUUCGCUACAUGGUCUCCAAUCCGGCCACGAAUGAGUACACUGUGCUGCCUGACUCUGGCUCCGCCGGCAACAUCUGCCUUGCUUACCUGGGUUUCGACAGUGAUGUUUCCACUCAAGAGUUUCAUGUGUUCGAGUUUGUACUGGUCCUCCGUGAGCCAUCCCUGGUUGUGAGGGGAGUGAAUAUUUACUCUUCAAAAACUGUUGCAUGGGUAGCAAUGGAACCCAAAUGGGACAUCCAAGUUACGUUGUGCUGGCGUAAACCAGGAGUUUUCCGUAAGGGGUUUCUGCACUUGCUGAUAGGUCAGUUUGGGUUGGCAAUACUUGAUGCAGAAGGGCUAACAUGGAGAAUUAUCCCGCUUCCAGUUGUAGAAAGUGUUAAUCCGUGUUUCUCCGGAUUCAUUGGAAAGUCUGCCGGACAGCUAAUUUAUAUCGACCGCGGUGCUAUUGAAGGACACGGCUCUAAUGCAUUGUUGACUAUAUCAGUUUACGUUCUUGGUGCUGAGAUAUGUCAGUGGGAUGUGACUCACCUGGAUGACAAGUGCAUGCGUUGGAAACUCUUGCACAAGCUUUCAAAUGUACUCCGAAGAAGAUGUUUCGGCUCUGUUUCAACCUCGAAGUCAUUGCAGUACACCCACAUGCCAAUAUAAUCUUCUUUGUAGCUCAUUGGAAGAAUGAACUGGUUGCAUACGAUCUGGAUCGUCAUGAGAAGCACAAUUGUGUAUCACAUUCACAUUGAGCCUAACUACUGGCAGUUUAUGAAUUUUUUCCCAUAUGUUCCAUCGUUGUCCCGCUUACCACUGGAUGGAGGAAUACAGCUGGCAACUCCAAAUCAAUGAAUGUUCUGCUCAUUAAAAGUUGGGCAGUCAGCGGUGAGGUGCUCCGGUGUGUUCUCAAGAGUAAUCUUCACAGAGAUUCAAAUACAGAUGAUAUUGUUUUGGAAAAUGCUAACUUCAGUUUUCAGUUCAGUUGGAAAAUGCCAACAAGUAGAGCUGCAUGAGAUACCUUAGUUUGUUAUAUUUUGACAUGUACUACUACUACCUUGUAUUUCUAUUAGAAUCUUAUGUUCUGAUAUGAAAAGGCAUAGUCUGAUAUGUGCACAUUCAAUCUGCAUUGGUUGGUUCUAUCUUGGUGUUUGCACUAAGNNNNNNNNNNNNNNNNNNNNNNNNNNNNNNNNNNNNNNNNNNNNNNNNNNNNNNNNNNNNNNNNNNNNNNNNNNNNNNNNNNNNNNNNNNNNNNNNNNNNNNNNNNNNNNNNNNNNNNNNNNNNNNNNNNNNNNNNNNNNNNNNNNNNNNNNNNNNNNNNNNNNNNNNNNNNNNNNNNNNNNNNNNNNNNNNNNNNNNNNNNNNNNNNNNNNNNNNNNNNNNNNNNNNNNNNNNNNNNNNNNNNNNNNNNNNNNNNNNNNNNNNNNNNNNNNNNNNNNNNNNNNNNNNNNNNNNNNNNNNNNNNNNNNNNNNNNNNNNNNNNNNNNNNNUUAUAUUCAUAGAAGUUUGCAUACGUAUGAAGCAUAUAUUGUGAUCACGCUGUCUCAAAAGGCUGAGAAAUGUCAAUGUUGAUGAUCCGUAAUCCUAGCUGGUUUAUAUCUGUCUCACAAAAUGGUCAAAAUCUCCUAAUAGGACUUGGAACCGUUUCUUGCUCCAUUUUUUCUUCUUCUAAUGGCUCCAAAUUCCAUGUCUAGAGUAUGUAGUUACGUUUUCCUGUCCUCUUUCGAUCUUUCAAUUUUGUUGGUCUGUGAUAUGAUUCCACUAUGAGAGGCACUAAUAUCUUCCCCCCUGUAAUUAACUAGUAUGUUCCAGUUCCAUCAGUUUGAGAUGAAAGUGUAUCCCUGAUUUGAAGCUUUUUACUAUUCACCAACCAAUAAACUAAAUAUUUUAGCCCUCACCUAUGGAAUCUUCGUCUAUAUCUGAACCUGACUGUUUUUGCUAGCAGCUUUCAAGAUUCUAUGUGCAAAAUGAAAGGUCCUAGUCCAUCUUUCUUUGGCUAACCAGAGUAGUUGCCUUGUCUCUACCAGUAUCAAAACAGACAGUGUAAUUUGCACUAUGCUGAUCACUCAGAUGUGGAGUAGAAUUAAUCAUUUCAGGGACAUGUUUAGUACAAUGAUAGAAUUAUUUUUUCCCAGUAGAUAAGCAUGUCAAUGUGUAUUCCGCUGAAUAAUGUGAAGCAUAUUGGCUGCUAAACCUUGCAUGCCCUCUAUUCCCUCUAGUAAUUAUCUACGGUUAUAUCCUCACUCGGACAGAAUUUUGUUAGCUCUAUGCUAAUUCUGUAUAAAUAAUGGUUACCAAUAUUCAUGUGAAGUUCUUAAAAGUCUUCUGUUGAGUCAAUUCUUGAGUAACGUAUAUAUACAAAUUUAGAGAAUCAUUACCUGUUCUUCUGUAGCCAUCUCUGCCUUGCUGUGAGGUGGCAAGAGGCAGUUUUCUUUAUGUUGGGUUGUUAUUCUGUUUUGCAGACUCAAAUAAGCAGCGUAUCAGUUACACGAAACCUCAGAUUUGACGCAGACCUCAUUGGUUGGCUGCCAAAGCCGUGGGGUUAGUUUGCUUAGUACACUCACUACAUAGUUUUUAGCUUUCUCUGCUGUGCUUUUCUCGCCUUUUUCUAUACAGAUCAAAUGUCUCAUACCUUAUCUGUUUUUUCUAAUUAUUUGCUAUCGCUGCAGUGCAGCGAUUUUAGACUGAUCUAAGCCCAGAUUAUGCUGUGGAAGACAGAUUCAUCAGAGGUUGCCUGAUCUAAGCCUAAUCUUCUACCCCUUUCAAGCACAGUUAGUGUUCGGAUGCCAGUCGGCGGAUGCAUCGGCCAAGCAUCAAUCAGUUCACUUCCAUCAGCAGGCUACGUUAGCACGGCGACUUCGUCGAGAUUGUUGGAUGGGUACCCACAGACUACGAAGCCCAAGAAACAAUGGGUAAACUCAAAGUCUGUAUAAUGUUGGUGAAAUUUGGGGACAUAAAUAAACUUAAGCAAGGCGAGUCGGCCAGGCAGUGGAUGACUAUCACCCCGCAGCAGCUAAGCAGGAAACGCUGGAUGGACCGCACCAUGCCGCCGUUUCCGUAUAUACAGAUGCAGAGCAAGAUGAAAGCUGCAGCCUCUCGUUCUGGCUACAUCGCAGAUUCAGAGAAAUAUUUGCUGGCUCUUAAUACGACACCUCAUAUUUGGCAAUAGUGACAACUUUAGAAAGACCUGUUGUUGGUGACGACGCUGAAUAGGUGCCAUCUGAUCCACGGCGUUCUUCGUGGCAAACACCGCAGCGCCGGACACGAGUCAGGUUUGAAGACCCUGUGUGCAUGCCUACGAGCUGCAGAUGCUUCAUGUGGCUAGCUGCCAAUAUUAGAUGCUGGACAGCGGAUAUGCUUCGACGCCGUGGGCUUUCAGCGACCAGCUGCCGGAGACGAUGUCACAUUUGCUGCUUGGCUUUGUCGUCGUGCGAGAGGUCUGGCAUUCCGUCCUCCACGAACGGCAGCAUAUGGAGUCGAUGUCUGACCACGACUAUAAGCUGAUUUACAUGGUGAACAACACAGUCAACGCGACGAAGGGAUGCAAGAGACAUGUGGAUAGCCGUCCUGUCUGGCAGUGCGGUGAAUGAUGUGAUCUUCAAUGACGUGGAGGUUUAAGGAGGCAUUGCUGUCUAUACCUACAAGAAGAGAAUGUGGACAUUUUUGUCUUGAGGAACUGGGUUUAGCUUUGACAGAUUUUGCUGUGCAACCGUGCCACUGUUCAACUCUGAGUAUAGUCUGUUGUCUGAACAAGUUAGCAGGAGCAUAGUCGGCACCAGAAGAUUUGGCAAAUAACUUCAGAAAUCUUGAUUGAACAUGGAUAUAUUAUUUCCUGGAAGGUAAGUCUAUAUAUUCAACAAGUUAGUAGCUGCAUGAUUGAUAAAGAGAUGUGGGCAUAUACUAUUGUUAUCCUGAUUCUAAGUUCUAGACAAUAUACUUCAACAGCUGGAGCCAUAUCAUUAUGUACAUAUAGCCACACUUCACACAUGCAAAUCAAGCUGUUUGGUUACUGCUCAGACAAGUCAGUCAAGCUCUUGCUCUACAACUAUGUCCCUGAUGGUAAUCUACAGGAGCUCCUCAGCGAGAACAGGAGCCUGGACUGGGAUUCAGGGUGGACACGGUCCGGGCCGGUCCGGUCCCUGACCGAGCCACCGUUUGGACCGGCCGCCGGCGGUCCGGACCGGACCGGACCGACCAGCCUCGCGGUCCUGGUUUCAAGGACCGGACCGGCGGCACUGAAGCCCGGGCCGGACCGAGCGGACCGGCCAACCACUACCAGCGACGACGUGCACGGGUGCACGGGUGCGCUGGCAAGGUGGGCGACGUGCGCACGACUGUGGCGAGAUGGGCGACAUGCGAUAGCGCGGGCGUCGAAGGGCGACCUGCUAUGGAAAGUGAUCUGGGUGGCGCGGCUGUUAGCCAUUAUUUUCUCUGUACCGUGAUGUUUCUUCCUUUGGCAGUUUUUCUACAGCAUGCAAGCAAUAUAGCACCUGCAUGAGCCCGUGAUUUUCUCUGUGAGGGCCUCGCCGUGAUUAGAGGAUCAAAUUGAACGUGGAGUUGAUCGUCAAAUGGCGCCGUGACUUUCGGAUCAGAUCCUUUUUCUCUCUUACUUUCUAUUUUCUGUUCGACUGAAACGGCAGCACGGGAUUGAUGGCGCGUGAUAAUAGGAAGAGGGCCCUAGUAUUAAAUCUUGGGCCUUCCAAAACAAUACUUUCCUGAUUUAUUGGAUGUGAAAAUCAUGACCGAGUAUUUCCCCCACGAUUCGAAAAUCACGAGAGAGUGUUUCUCCCACGAUUCGACUGGGCUGAAACGGCUGCUAUGGCACUUCGUCUGCACUGCAAAAAGCGUUGCCAUGGCAGGAAUUGCUGCCACGGUUGGGUCGAUGACAUGGUCGAGAACUCGAGAUCGGCGGCAGUUCACGCAUGGCAGCGAUGGCGAGCGGCAGCAAAAGGCUACGUCGCAAGGGUACGAGAGGAAGGAAGAAGAAGGGAAGCUCAUGGACAUGGUGGUUCAUCCAGGGGCUGCCGGUGGCCGCGAUGGCGAGGAACGGUGACUGCGGUGAUCGCGUUUUCUCGGUCCGCUCGGUCGGACCGGUUAAAGACCGGACCGGACCGAGAUUUUUUCGGGCCGAAUAUGGCAGCCCGGACCGCCCCUUUUCGCUAGCGGGCCAGGACCGAGCGGGCCAAGACCGAGCGGGCCACGAGCGGGCCAGAAAGACCGCUCGUUACGUCCACCUCCGACUGGGAUACACGGUACAAGAUCGUGGUCGGGGCAGCACUGAUACUCUACCGGGAUGUCAAGUGCGACAACAUCCCACAUAACCGACAUCAACACACAUACGAAAGUAAGCACGUCGAUAGAAAGUAAAGUCAUACAAGACCGAGCUUGCCCACAUGAAAAAAAAACCGAUGCCAUCGAAACAACGAUUGACAAAAUGCAACAACGACCUAAUUGAACCGGGUGCUUAUCUCCACUGAUCUUGGUUUCUCAGUUGGUUUUGCUGAUCAGGCAUGGUAUUGUUUGGGCAGACUGGGUGAUGAUGUAGAGGGUGGUUAAAGGGAGUGGAUUCGCGAAAGUGCUCUUCUGAUCCCGAGCUUCAUGUGAGCUCGGGUGAACAGUAAAUGGAAAAAAAAUCUGAUUUUUUUGUUCCAAACAUUGGCAAAUGUUUUCAUUGCUUGCAAAAUUUUAUCAUGAAAUGACAUUCUUGAAAUUUGUGUAAAAAAUGAUGCUCCAAAAUACUUUUGAAAAUGAAAUUGCUGCUCAUAACAAAGCUCCAAAUUAGGGAGGUAGAAAAAUAGAUUGCGGUGAGUGUGGAUCGAACACAUGACCUUCAGAUCUUCAGUCUGACGCUCUCCCAACUGAGCUAUCCCUGUUAUAGCCUGUUGUCUAGGUGCAUAGUCUGCACCGGAAGAUUUGGCAAAUGGCAUAGAAAUUCUUAUUGAACAUAGAUAUAUUGUUCUUGGAAGGAAAGUAUAUAUAUUCAACAAGUUAGUACCACCGGUUGCCCCAACACAUGUGCAUCUGUAGCACCAACAGCUGCUCAUCUGUUGUCAUGCCAUCUCGCAACGACUAUAUGCAUCUGUAGUAAUUCUGACAGAAGAAGCAAUACAUUUUUAUCAACAUGAAAUUUGUUUGGUAAAAUCCAUGAGAACUUCAUCAGUAACCAAUUGAUUGAUACCCCACAUAUGACAAGCAAGCGUGUUCCUUUCCAAAAAACUUCAAAAUGGACAUCACUUUUUCAUGAGUUCUUUCGGGAGUAAAGUAAGGUAAGGUCUUUGGUCACCAUUUACCUACCAUUUUAGUUAGUUCUACAUGUACAACUGAUUCAGCAACUCGAAAGGAAUUCUUUAAAAGGAAAUCAGUUAAGCAACUCGAAUGAAUCCAUCAUGCAUUGGUCUCAAAUCCAAGGAAAUAUGAGCAAAACCUCCCAAAUCUAAACAAAGCACCGAACAUCUUUCAGACGGAAAUUAACUCUUUCAGAACCUUUCAAAAGAUGACAUAUCAAGGAUCAAAAUCGACCACAUAGAUUGAUGACCAAGACUUUAUCCAUUAGUCUGGAUGCCUCAUAUGAUGAUAAUUCCAACCAUGGAACCACAGGUGUGGUGAUCCGUGAUAGCCCACGUACUCUUAUUCAUACACAUGCCCUCUGGUAUGAUUUUGCUGCUAGUCCAAUGGCGACGGAAGCUGUGGUGAUGUGCAAUGGAGUGCACAUGCCUCUUGAGAGGGGGUUAUGUAGAGUAAUGAUUUAGAGUGAUGCACAAGCUGUCAUCAAGCUAUGGGAGUCAUGCGGCUUUGAUCGAGAUUGCUGGAGCCUUGCGGAUUGAAGAACUGAGUGUGCAUUUUGAGAGUUCUAUGCCGAGCUUUGUUGGACAAGAUGCUAGUAUGGCAGCUCAUCUAUGUGCUAAACUGGUGGCCAAGUUUAGGAAGAGAUGUUUAUGGCUUAAUUUUACCCCUCUACUCCUAAUGAACAUAUUGCAUUGUGAUUGUAUGCUUGAUUAAGUAAGCAAUAAAGCUCUUCACUCACAAAAAAGGUAGAAAUUGCAAUGCGGCCAUCCCAGCAUAUCAAAACAUUUCUGGUUGUGGCGAUGACCUUUCUUUUCCAUAUGAUCCUACAAAAUGGACUGGGUUUCACUAUCAAGGGAUAACGAAACGACAAAUGCACAAAAACGUCCUGGUGCAAGAACAUAGCCUAAAACUGGUUUCAAUUGCUAACAACAAAAGCUAAUGGAUCCAAAUCUACUGCAAGUUGACUUGGGGUUCACAAUCAUCCCAAGCAAAAUGUUUUCGAUCACUAGCAUCAUCAUUCAGAAAACUCCAUUGCAUCGUUCCUCAUCCAUUCUUUCUCCAUUAGUUCACCUUCACCCACUUCUUGUUCCUCAUUUUCUCCAGCGUUACUCGCCUUGAUCUUCAACACAAGACUUCUUGGCUCCGCGCACCCACCAACAUGAUGUGCCAAUGCUUCUCGCUUCAAAGCAACAACACCUUGUUCCAGAAUCACACACUCUUCAUUAUUUUGUAGAUCUGCCCAAUAAAGCAUAAACAUGCAUGCAUAAUAGACGAAUUCAGCAAGAAAUCUAGUAAUUUUUUUCUCAAAACAAGAUCUAUUACAUAACUCGGAUGGGAAUGUAGUGGCUUAUCGUGAGGGUGAUGCACUCAUGGACUUGUAGUAGAGCUGGUAGCUGCCACGACAGCUUCCCUAUAUGUGGGUGGCCUUGAGGCAGGCGUCGUGGAGGGGCAUCUCUCCUCCAUCUCCUAUUAGGUCACAUCUAUGGAGUCCCUCAGCGUCUACCAUGACGUUGCUAUCAGGUCCCAUGGCUAUGGCUACUUCAAGUUCCACUCACAGAAUGAUGAUGAG